GCCUCCCAGCAGCCGCACGGGGGCGACUUGGGAGGGACCUUAAAAUUGGGGGAGAAUUCCACUUCCCCGGCCUCUGCACCAACUAGGGAUGCAUACGGCUAUUUUAGUAUGAGUACCAAGAUAAUCAUGGUCCUCAGAAUUUUUUAAAUGAGUAUCAAGAUAUUUUUUGAUAAGUGGUUCCACCACACAUCAAACUUGAUCCUCAAUAAAUGGGGGAAAACCCCUGUGCAUCACCUGUCAAUUCUAGGAAUUGAACUCGGGUCGUUAGGCUGCACAACCGCAUGCCCAACCACUGAGCCAAGGCUCUCUUUGCAAAAAUUGGGGGAGAAUUUCACUUCUCCGGCCUCUGCACCAACUAAGGAUGCAUACGGCCUUUUAAGUAUGAGUAUUAGGAUUUUCAGACUCGGUUACGCACCAAGCCUAGUUCUCAAUAAAUGCGUGAGUACCAGAAAAACCUGGUCCUUAAGAAUAAAAUGAAACCUAAAUUCGCCUCUGCGAGGAUUUGAACCCAGGUGCCGCUGCACGUGGAGCAACGGGGUGGACGACGCAUGCAGCCCGUCGCCCGUUGUCCGGUUUGCCAUCGCCACGCCCGCCAGCAUCCCGAGCCCCGCCGACGCGAUCACCAUGGGCGAAACCAUCUUCGCCGAAAAACCAAUCCAAGAAUCUCCCUUUUCUUGGUGCCCAAAUUGCUGGUGCUUGUUGCUUCCUUGCCGUAUGCACUUGCCUGGUGCUGGUAAGGAGGGGAAGAAGAGAUUUGGAUGGCUGUGUGUGGCCAGGAGGUUGUGCCAGUCUGUUGUUUUUGUGGACGUGGUGCGUCCAUUUAUAGGAUUUUUUGGGGGGUUGUAGGAAGGUGGGUGCUGGGAUAGUUUCGUUUAGCACUUUGGCGGGGAGCAGAGGCGAGGAAGGGAAGGCGUGCCCGCCUAGCUACCUUUGCUUGCCUGCUUGGUCUGCAUCCGUCGGCUACGCUGCUAUGCUUGUUGGGCCUUUCGAUCUCUGUUUCGUGUGUGCCGCGAGCUGCUUCGCUGCAGGUGUGUUUACUCCCCCCUUGCGAGUUCCUUUGCCUUUUCCACGCUACGGGACGAAUUCGGAGCUAGGCACAGGAUUUGUCGUCUGCAUUCUUAUGAGCUCCGUUAACGAUCUAGAUCAUGUAACUGGCCGAAGACUUGUAGACGAUUCUCUACAUUACUUGCAAGAUUUGGACCUGUUAGCUGGCGAAUAUUCGCCGGGGAGGAUGGCAUAUGCGGACGAUUUCGUGGCAGUUUUAGUUGUGAGGAAGUGGCGAGGGGUGGCAUCCUCGCUAGGCAACAUGGCAGUUUCUUUCCAGAAAGGCAAUUUUCAUUUAAAAACUGUCAUCUUUUGAUCUUUACUCGCAACUAAAACUGCAAUCAAAUGACGUUCGCACACACCAACUGUUCGUUGAAAUGUCUUUUUUACAAUUUAGUUUAUCAUUGAUGUUUCAUGUACUUGCUCUCGUAUUUAGUUCGAAGAUCAUAUAUUAAUGUGUGCUCACCUAGCGAACGGGCAUGUAGCCUAGUGGUUCAACGACCUUAGUAGCAUCCCAAGUCCUGGGUUCGACUCCCGGUGUGAGUGGAUUUGAACAGGCUUGGGCAAAAAUUUCUAGAAUAAAAGGACUGUGGGGCUGUUGCUCUACAGUAAAUAGUCAAACAAAAAUGUGUGCUCACCUACUCCUUUUUCAAAGACAAGACCGAGAAAAUAUUUAUGUCCUUAUUUCUACACCUUCUCACCUAAAUAUAACUAUUGGGAUCUCCAGUGACUGUAUAGGGUAAGAUGGGAGAACAUUGCAAACUUACAUUUAGUUAGAAAGUUAGACUCGACCAAGCAUCUCUUGGUUUGCACUACUAUAGAAACUAAAGCUUCUACAUAGGAUAGUUUAAAUGUUGGAAAUGAGGGGCGCUAGAAAAUAUUCUCUUUGAAUGAGCUCGCGAUUUGGGGAAGCACCUCAUUACCAUGGAAUCCAUUAUCAACUCGUUAGCACCAUCACAUUUUGAGCGAUAUCUUCUUGGCACAUAACCAUGCGAAACUAUCUACGUCUUCCCUGGUCGCGGGUGGUGAGUGCCAUCAAGAACGAUGAUGAUACUUUCUUCACUGGUGAGUUGGAGAUGAAGCUAGGAUUUGUAUUCUCUUAGGUUCUAUAUGCCAAUGAUACAGCCAUAUGUUCACCAAAUGUUUGAUUUACCUAGAAACAAUGAACUACUUUGCAUGUAUAAAAGGGAUACAUUUGCGAGAUAAUAAAGAACUAGUAAAUCAUAAUUAGGUGCUACCAUGUAAGGUACAAUAAAGUAAAAGAUGACAAGUGUAGAGUAGCAGUGGUAGGUGUUGCGGAAUUGUACCUAGGCAAUUGGCUAUGAUACUAGACCAAUAAACGUCAUUGUAGUUCAUAUAUUGGAGAGGCCUAUGCUAACAUGCAUGCAAAUCAAUUGAAUUAUAUUUAUUUAUGAUUUAAAUCCUUAGCAAGUAUCUGCAACUACUAAGAAUACAUUAAGGUAAAACCCAAUCGUAAUAUUUAGAUCUACGGGUCCUCUGUAUCCCAUAUGCAUCUACACCUAUACUCAGGCUCUGUAAUAUAUGUCACUUCGGCCACCCUAUGCACAGUUAUCUCAGCAUACUAUUGACCCUAAAACGUGAUCCUCAUACAUGCACACUCAUAUGAUGGGCACCAAAUGAUAUCAACAUAUCAACAUACAACUCAUAUCAAUCCAAAUAGAUCACCAAUCAACCGCGUGACAAAAAUAUUCUACUCAGACAUAUUACACUACUAGGGAAAACCCUAGCAGUAGCGCGGGUAUUUUGCCCAUCAGUAGCUGCUACCUCUUGAGCACUGCGUUGGUUUUUCCUUGAAGAGGAAAGGGUGAUGCAGUAAAGCAGCGUAAGUAUUUCCCUCAGUUUUUGAGAACCAAGGUAUCAAUCCAGUAGGAGGCCACGCACGAGUCCCUCGCACCUACACAAACAAACAAGAACCUCGCAACCAACGCGAUAAAGGGGUUGUCAAAUCCUUCACGGUCACUUACGAGAGUGAGAUCUCAUAGAGAUAAUAGGAUAAUAUUUUUGGUAUUUUUGUGAUAAAGAUGCAAAGUAAAAUAUACGGCAAGAGAAAUAACAAAGUAUUGGAAGAUUAAUAUGAUGGAAAAUAGACCCGGGGGCCAUAGGUUUCACUAGUGGCUUCUCUCAAGAUAGCAGAAGUAUUUGCGAUGGGUAAACAAAUUACUGUCGAACAAUUGAUAGAAUUGAGCAUAGUUAUGAGAAUAUCUAGAUAUGAUCAUGUAUAUAGGCAUCACGUCCGAGACAAGUUGACCAAAACGAUUCUGCAUCUACUACUAUUACUCCACGCAUCGACCGCUAUCCAGCAUGCAUCUGGAGUAUUAAGUUCAUGAAGAACAGAGUAACGCAUUAAGAAAGAUGACAUGAUGUAGAGGGAUAAACUCAUGCAAUAUGAUAUAAACCCCAUCUUUUUAUCCUCGAUGGCAACAAUACAAUACGUGCCUUGCUGCCCCUGCUGUCACUAGGAAAGGACACCGCAAGAUUGAACCCAAAGCUAAGCACUUCUCCCAUUGCAAGAAAGAUCAAUCUAGUAGGCCAAACCAAACUGAUAAUUCGAAGAGACUUGCAAAGAUAACCAAUCAUACAUAAAAUAAUUCAGAGGAGAUUCAAAUAUUGUUCAUAGCUAAUCUUGAUCAUAAACCCACAAUUCAUCGGAUCUCGACAAACACACCGCAAAAGAAGAUUACAUCGAAUAGAUCUCCACAAGGGAGGGGGAGAACAUUGUAUUGAGAUCCAAAAAGAGAGAAGAAGCCAUCUAGCUAAUAACUAUGGACCCGAAGGUCUGAGGUAAACUACUCACACUUCAUCGGAGAGGCCUUGGAGAUGAUAUAGAGGCCCUCCGUGAUCGAUGCCCCCUCCGGCGGAGCUCCGGAAAAUGCCCCAAGAUGGGAUCUCACGGGUACAGAAAGUUGCGGCGGUGGAAUUAGGUUUUUUGGCUCCGUAUCUGGUAGUUUGGGGGUAUGUAGGUAUAUAUAGGAGGAAGAAGUACGUCGGUGGAGCAACGAGGGGCCCACGAGGGUGGAGGGCGCGCCUGGGGGGGUAGGCGCGCCCCCCUACCUCGUGCCUUCCUCGUUCGUUGCUUUGCGCAGACUCCAAGUCCUGUGGAUCACGUUCGUUCAGAAAACCACGUUCCCGAAGGUUUCAUUCCGUUUGGACUCCGUUUGAUAUUCUUUUUCUGCGAAACACUGAAACGGACAAAAAACAGCAAUUCUGGGCUGGGCCUCCGGUUAAUAGGUUAGUCCCAAAAGAUAUAUAAAAGUGUAUAAUAAAGCCCAAUAAUGUCCAAAACAGAAUAUAAUAUAGCAUGGAACAAUCAAAAAUUAUAGAUACGUUGGAGACGUAUCAGUAGCGCGGGACGUCGCGCUACUGAUAAGGCGCUACAGCUAACAUGUAGCAGUAGCGCAUGUCGUCCCACGCUACUGCUAUACAUGGAUAGCAGUAGCGCGCUUUAGUGAAGAGCACUGCUGCUAAUAUCUGCAGCGCUUUUCAGAAGGAAGCGCUUCUAGUAAGGCAGCGCUACUGCUAACUUUGUUCCCCUCGCUACUGCUAGUUUUAUUAGUUUUUUAUGCAUAUUUGUUUUAUAUUUGAAUAGGCUUUAUACAAUAAUCUUUAGCAUAUCAUACACAUACAAAUGUAAUCAUAGCAUAUACAUACAAUUAGUCUCAUCAAAUCAUGUCAUCAUCAUAAUCAUCAUCCAACACAAAGUGGUCUCUCGUCAUCAUCUCGAAAAUAGCGAUACAAGUCUCGAUUACUUGCAACUACAUCGUCAUCCAUCUAAACAAUGAUAUACGCGAGAAGAGCUAUCACUUUGAGUGAGAGGGGAACUAUGCAGUACAUGAGUUCGUAUCCCUCUCUCGCAUUAGCGUGAACCUGAACAAACUACUGCCUAUCGCUCGGAAACCGGUACACCUGGGCCUGAAACUCCGCCCACUCGUCGUAUAUAUAUACUCUUGGCGUAGCACUUCUUCCUCAUUGAUGAUAUAUGCACCUGCAUUAUCACAUGAGUCGAUGAUAUGCAACAUAUAUAGUUGAGCAACAGAAAGAGACAGACUUGGCAAAAAUAGAAGCAACAUAUCAUAAACAUAAAUAACAAAGUUGAUCGUACCCAAAAUGCCCUAACUAGAGUGAUUGUCGCUAGUCGAGGAGGACGGUUUAAUUACAUCACAACUAAAGUUUCGUCGUGCAUAACUCAAUGUUUUGUCAUACAGAAAGUAUGGACUAAACGGACACAUUGUCAUAUAUCGACAAUCACUCCAACAUGUCCUGCCAUCCAUCCAAGUCAGGGAGAUAGUCCCCGAGCCUAGUGAAAGGCUUCAGGUCGAGACGCUAAGAGGCUACCCGUGUUCGGACGUCUUCCCGCGACAUUUGUCCUUCUUCGUAGAACAUCCCUGUUUUUCUAACGACCUCCUUCAUGAUGAUUUGGGCAAGUUCGUGCUGGAUGUGAUAGAACUCAGCUUGAAGUCGAUGAUCCUCGAUAUCUCCUACGUUCUUUGCCCAUUGCGGAAUAUGGGCAUCGCCGGAUGUAGGUGACAUGCGAAGGUUCUGGUGAUCCCGUCUGUACUCCAGCAUGUGGUGUAGGACAUAGAAUCCAUCAUUAAGAGAAUCACCCGGUUGCUGGAUGCAGCAGAAGUCGGUCUUAUGGCCGAAGGCGGGCCUGCCGCCCCUUCUCUUCUUGUCCUUGACCUCUCCACCCCGUGCAUCAUAGUAAAACAUAGCACUUUCGAGAACAUCCUUGAUGUGGCUGUAAUCCUUUUUGUUAAUGUUCUUCGAUGAGUCCAAGUAAAGAGCGUGGGAGUAUCGGGGGUAGAAGAUGAUGAGGACGACACGCCCGCCGCUGCGCAAAAUAAGUACACCUCAAAUUAAUUAGCCUCCACCAUGCAAAUGAAUGGUUGAAAUCGAAGGAAGGAUAUCUGCGCGGAUGACUUACAGGGGAUGAUAAGGCACGAGAAUCGCCUCCUUGUCCUUAUUGGCGAGCAUGAAAUUGACGAUGUAUUCCCUCGCGUAUUCACGGUGCUUUACGCAGACUCCCAAGAAGCCCUCGUGCAUGAACUACGGGUCAGCGACACAGAUAUGAGGUAUCUGCUCAACCCCGAUGAUGUAGUUCAUGUGCAAGGCAUAAAGGCGGACAAACGUAAAAUCCAGCUUCUUCACGUGAAACAUGUCGAAUAUGUAAUCGAAUCGAAGGAAGAACUUCUCCGCGGGGAAUGUGUCGACGUACGACAAUUGCCGCGGACGUUAACCACGUAGAGUGGGUAUCCUGGAUUUUUCGAGGCGAUGAGGCCUUUCUCUAUCCGCAGCACAUCAUCAUGAAGUCUCCUUAGAUCGCCGAAUCUGGCCCCUAGCGCUGCUGCAGGUAGGAUUGGUUGACCGGGGAUAUGCCAUUUAUCCGCACCGGGGAUAUCUAUACGGUCUUGAACCCGAGGCUGCUGAGGCGGCUGGAUCAUAGAAUCAGAUUUUUUGCCUUUCCUCGGUCUCUUCCUAGACUUCUUUACUACCGGAAGGUCGUCCAUAAUAUAUUUAGCCUCCGGAGACGGCAAUUCAGGCACCGACUCAUGACGCUCAAACCCUAAGUAGGCGCCAGUAUAGACAUACUGUUGAGUGCCAUCGUCAUCCUCAUCCUCAUCUAUGGCGACGUCACCAGCGACUAAUGGAGCCUUUUCCUCACCCCCUCCGCUAUCACCCAGCACGACAGCCGACGCAAAUUGGGUAGGUGAGGUGUUGAUGUUCAUACCUAACUGUGUGCUCGUGGGUGUGCUCCCAACCGCCUCUAGACGAAGGAGACUCUUUGGACACAACGGGACCCACCCAUUGCAACAAUCACCAAGCCGCCGCGGGGUCACGUCGUCAUCCCCCACUAGUACUAGAGGAGGCAAAUUCUCGUGGCCCGGUUUGACACUCGCCACGGAAACCUUGAAGAAAUUCGGGGGGAUCGGCCCUCUGUGGAACAAUGGUUCCUUCGGCUUCAUUAUCGUCGCCUUCCCCACGUCCACCUUCUGGUUGCCGAUGGUGUACAAUAUGGUGCACGGGGUUUCGUCGGCCUGCAAAGAAAAGUCUGCGACGUGAGACAUCCGAAAGGCAACGAAAACGGGAGAUUAUACAUUUAUUGAAGGGGGCCAGUGUGACAGAUACCGUGAGGGCGUCGAGCUCAGCCAAAGACGAAGCUCCGCCGAGCACGUCUGGUGCCGGAGCCGGUGCGGGAGCAGGUGCAGCUGCAGGUGCUGGUGCAACGCUAGUCGAGCUGCUCCCCAAGAAGUCAGCAAGGGGAAAGUCCGCUGCUUUUUUUCUGGAUUUUGCCUGGUCCAACUGAAAACGGCCGGAACCAAGGAAGUAGACAUAUCUACAACCACCUAUUUUGCGGCAGCUACCGCUGUUGCGACUGUCUGAGAUGAUUUUUUCUCAACCGCAAUCUCAACCUUCUUGUCGAUGUUUUCUUCAGUUAACCUCCGUCUUUCCUUUCUCUCCUCCAUGGUCUCACGGUAGUACUUCUUCCAUGUGGCGCCGUCUCCGACACCGUGCACGCGUCCAUACGACGGUCGAGUCUCCACCGGGAGUCGUUUCACUAUGUUCAACGCCUGGUUGAAUGGAGUGUCCCACUUGGGCCUCGCCAACGCCUUAGACGGCGAGUCGCUUUCGGUCGCAAUCCUGUGCUGCUCUCUCUGCAAAAGGCACAAGCAUCGUUUACAAAUAUGACUAACGUGCAGUCGAAUUGAUUAGAAACUAAAAUUACCAGCAGUCUCAUGAACUCCAUCGUGACCGCGUUCGUCUCGAAAACCUUCUUCACUGGGUCCCAACGGUGCCGGGCCCUGAGGACGUCACACUCCCGCGGGACGGUGAACUCCGCCAAGGGGUCUGGGAUGCCCAGACUCGCGGCUUCCGCGUCCUCCUUGGCCCAUAUGGACCACUUCCCGCCGUAACCACGGCUUCCGAGGUGGUGGCACCCAAUGUUCCUCUGUUGAAGCCCCUUCAUGUACUUCGAUUUUUUUGGCAGCUUCGGCCAUGCAAGCCGCCUUGAAUAUUUCAAUGUGCUCUGCCGUGAUUGUCGGAUUAUCCUUUACAAUCUCGGAGUAGGGUUCCUUUUUGUCGAUGAUCCUUCUUUCACCCUUGUUUUCCAGGCGGCCAACGCGUCGCUAACCUUGGUCAUGGCAUGUUUGUGUAUCUUCUUCAUUGCCGGGUCCUUUUCUGGAUCUUUAUAAUCCUUUUCAUUCCGGCCCAGGAACAAGAAUAUCUGGUGCAGCUUCUUUAGGAGGGAGGGCCUCAUAUUAUCUAUCUUCUGUAGUUUCUCAUCGUUGAUGGUGGCGGUUGUCCGUACGAUGCAACCUAUUUGAUUGCCGUAGCACGCGCGCGCUUCCUCGGGCGCUUUUGGCUCAAAAUUGCCAUCGUCCACCUCCGUGACCACCAGUCUAGUAGUACUGAGCUUGUUAGGAAGCCGUUGCCUCUUUGCUUUCGAUUCUACACUGGCUCCGCUAGUCUCGGCGCCGGUCUCAGUCUGAGCGCCGGUCUCGAUGCCGGUCUCAGUCUCAGCGCCGGUCUCAGUCUCAGCACCGGUCUCAGUCUCAGCACCGGUCCGCGUGUCGGUCUCAGUCCCUGAUGCCAUCGGUGGGCCCAGCAACAACAUCGGUUGAUCGUCGGCAAGGCUCAAAAAUUCAUCUGCCGCCAGGUAGAAGUCGUCGCAAUCACCAGAACCUUGUCCUUCAUCGUUGCUAGCCAUGUUUCCUAUGAUUAAAUCUAGUCAAUUAAUUCUAGACCUAAUAAAAUGAAUAAUGACAUAAAAGGACUAUGUUUUGCAGGAACGUUGACUCCUUCCCGGUGCGGCAAAUCCCGGGCACUCGAUAUGUCCUAGUUUGUAGCACAAGUCAUGCCGAAAUUCACGGAAAAUUUCGGCAUGACCUUUGCUAAAAAGUGGACAAAUCGAGAACCUGAAAUUUGCCGGAACGGAAAUGAAUCAACAUUCCGGCAAAACAUAAGCCACUCAGCUUCACUCCCUAGAAAUAACAAAAGGCCACUUGGGCACAAUUGAACCACUUCAAUGAAAAGAUAUAACAUGACCACUACAAUGAAAAGAUAUAAUCAACAAUAAAAGUCUAGGAAGGGAUCAUCUUUAAAAUAAAACUUGCCUAAAUUCUUUUCCUAGAAAAAUAGUGGUCGAAAAUAAAUUUUUCCUCUAACCUAGUUAACGUAGCUUGUUAACCUAACAAACCAAAUUAACCUAGCUAGUUAGUUAACCUAGCUUGUUAACCUAGUUUACCUAGAUAAUUAACCUAAUUAAACUAGUUAACCCAACUAGUUCUCUGUCAAAGCCCUAAUUUUUUUUUCUUAACCUGGAUAAUUAACCUAAUUAAACUAGUUAACCUAACUAGUUCUCUGUGAAAGCCCUAACUACAUUUUUGCACUAACCUAGAAAAUUAACCUAAUUAAAGAAGUUAACCUAGCUAGUUAGUAUGUCCAGUUUGUGCUAUGCAUCAGAGAGAGAGAGAGAGAGGAGGGGUGCUUACAGACGAUGGCUCCGGUGGUGGCGAGGGAGGCAGGGGCGUCUCCGAUGACGGCGAGGGAGGCUGUUGUGGCGAGGGAGGUAGGGGCGUCUCCGGUGACGGCGAGGGAGGCUGUUGUGGCGAGGGAGGCAGGGGCGUCGAGGGUGGCUCCGGUGGCGCCGAGGGCGGCUCCGGUGGCGUUGAUGAGGCCGAGCGGCUCCGGUGGCGUUGGGAGCGGCUCUGGUGGCGUCGACAGCGCGCAGCUCUGGUGGAUCCGGGGGCGUCGACGUCGGCAGGAGACGCCGACGAAGUGGGGCGACGGCGAAUUGGGGACACGGUGGCAAAGUGGGGGCGAGGGAUUUGGGGGAGAAGUGGUGGUCGGGUGGAGGGAAAACCGCUGGUUAAGUGAAACAUAGCGGUAACGCGUUAAAGGAAACGCGCUAUAGCUAAGCCUGUCUCUUUUUUCCCUUUCUCAUCUAUUUUUCUUUACAUUUUAUUUGUCCUUUGUCCUUUUUCUAUUUCUUUCAUUUUCAUUUACUUUUGUAUUUGUUGUUCGAUUUAUUUUCUUUUCGUUAGCAGUAGCGCAUUUCUGCGUAAACGCGCUGCUACAAUAGAUAUAGCAGUAGCGCGGUUAAAAUGAGAACGCUACUACUAUGUGUAGCUUAUCGGCUUAGUCGUGAGAAUUUUAGUUGUAGCGCGUUUAUAGUUAGGCGCGCUACUGCUACGUUUGUAUCUGUAGCGCCGUUAUCCUGCACGCGCUACUGCUACUUAGCACUAGAGCCCUUUUUUAACAACCGCUACUGCUAAAGUUCUGUGUAUAAGGUUUUCCCCAGUAGUGUUAGAACGCAACAAAUUGCCAGGGAAUAAUUUAUAGCAAAAAAAAUGUUCAAGUAGGGAAUUGGGUGGAGAUGGCAACAGAGAUGGUGGUGAAGCUGAUGUAGGCGAUGUCGGUGAUGGUGGUUCCCCUAGCGACACUUCGACGCCGCCGGAAGAGAGGGGGAGAGAGGCCCCUCCUCCUCCUUCUUCUUCUUCCAUGGCCUCCACCCUAGGUAUGGAGAGGUUUCUUCCUCUAGUCCAUGGUGUUCAUGGCCCCCGAAGGGCAAGAGCCCAAAUGAGAUUGGACCUCUUUGAUAGUCAUUUUUCUAGAAUUUCUCUCUCCUGAAAUCUGAGUCCAAUCCGUUUUAUCGACCACAGGAGUUCUGUAACUUCGAUAAAUGUAAAAAACAAUAGGGCGGUAGUGAAACUUCUGGAGCAAGUCUGCAGCUAAAGGGCACCUCCAACCGACCUAAGGGGUGACCAUGCGAUAGGAGCUCCCCCGGGUGGGAGCUAGGGACGUGUGGUGGGCCUAUGGGUCCCCUCCAGGUGUGUGCAUGCCCCUUGUGCUUCUUUUGGUGCAAAACUGAUCAUUUUUUCCGCUCUUUAAACCGAUUUCAUGAAAAGCCCCAAAACACUAGAAAACAGGAGCUGGCCUUUGACACUAGAUUAAUAUGUUACUUCAAUAAAAAAGGUUAUAAAAUUAUGCCAAGAGUGUAUAAAUUAUGGUAAUAUAGCACGAACAUAAAAAUUAUAAAUACGUCAGAAACGUAUUGUCUCCCGCCAUCCCUAUGCAUGCAUCCCCGCAUAUGUCGUAUCUCCCUUGCGCUUGCCUCAGGUUGGCUCCACAGAAACAACCGACUAGAGUGUUCCUAGCAAGCUAGGCGCUAGGGUGAUUUAAGUUUCGUGCGUGUGUGGGCCAGCGACUCGUGUGAGCAACCAAUUUGUUUAUCUGCUAGGCCUUUUUUGGGAGGGGGGAGGGGCCGCAAGGAACCCAGCACGCCCUAUUGCUACUCCAUUGCAUUACCAUGUAGUAGUUCCAUGGGACCAACUGGUGACUCAGUAGAAGCCCAUACACAUGAUGUAAGACAAAUAAAUGAUGCAAGGACAUCUCCCCUGUUGUUAAUAUACAUUAUUGCUAGAUGGAGACAGUAAUAUUUAAAUAAUGCAUGUUUUGUUAAUUCUCUUUUGUAACACACCCUUGAUUGAAAAUGUCCAUGCAUGCUUUAGUUAUUAGUAUAGUUGGUUUCACGGUUAGGCAAGAAUGGUAAAGAACACCACAAGGCCAUGAACUGGUAAUGUUAAUAUUACUAUGAAACUAUUAGAGUUCCCUAAAAAAAGAAGUAUUGGAGUACUAAUUCUUUUUCUACAAUUAAAAUUAAUAUAUUAUCAUUAAUGCCUCACGUACUUGCUCUGGUAUUUAGUCACAACAUCAUAUAUUAAUUCACGCUCACCUACUCCUUCUUCAAAGACACAGAUGGAGAAAAUAUUUAUGUCCUUAUUUUGCACACAUUCUAACAUACAUAUAAGUAUUGUGACCUCCAUUGGCUGGAUAGGGUAAGAUGGGAGCACAUUGCAAAGUUAGAUCUAGUUAGAAAGGUAGAGCCGGCCAAGUAUCUCCUAGUUUGCACUACUAGAGAAACUAAAGCUUCUACAUAUGAUGGUUUAGAACAAAUGUUGGGAAUGAGGGGAGCCAGAAAAUAUUCUCUUUGGAUGAGCCCAUGAUAUGGGGAAGCACCUCCUAAUCAUGAAAUCCAUUAUCAACUCGUCACAGAAUAGUCUUAGCAUCAUCACUUUAUGCGUGAUAUGUUAUUGGCAUGUAACCAUUCUGAACUAUCUAUGUCUUCCCUCGAUGCGGGUGGUGAGUCUUCCCUGGUUGCGGGUGGUGAGUGCCAUCAAGAAGAUGAUGAUAACUUCUCCGCUCGUGAGUUGGAGCUCUUUUACAUCACUCUAUUGCUCCUCAACCCUAGAUAUGAGUACCAAGCCAUUUUGACCAUCCAUACGUAAGGGUAACUUGGUCAUUUUCGACAGGUUAUAUUAGAAUUUCAUGUUAUUCCAAUAUAUGCCACUAAUCCACAUGUGCCCCUAAACAAAUUAAUAGCUUGCAAUUGUUUGCCCCUGUGUAGCAUCGAUUGACUAGUGCUUCCAAUGCCAAUGUCGAGCCACCACCAUCCUUCAUCAGCAUUGACUCGCAUCACGGCCACUCUAAAUCAAGUGCAUGCAAAUAUUUAGGGAGAAUGCAUGCGUAUUUGCUUUACUUACAUAACAGAAGUAAAGGAGGGCAACAAUUUCUGCUAUGACACCGAAAAAUCCAGUACCUGAAAGUGCCUCUGAAGAAAAUCAUCUCCAAGAAUGAUACAAAAAGUAUGAUGUGCGGUUUUCUAAUAUAUUUACUUAAUGCAAAAUGAAGAUGACAUGGACAUUGCUUCAGUUGACAAUCUGCACACUCUAUCAUGCAUGAGCUUAUAGUUAUUGUAGUUUUCUGAAGGAGAGGCUUUGCCUAAGCUUGUAGAUAUAGUACGAUUGAACCAAUAUUGCAACAAGAGAACUAAUGAAUCAAGACGUUCGAAAUGGAUUAUCUGAUUGUAGUGAAUUGCAUGUUAACAUGAAAGUUUUCAUUUAUUGUUUUCACAGUAGAAUUUUUUUUAAUAUUUUUCUCCAAUAUGAAGAGGAUCUGUGCAUCCUUGUAUAAUGCAAAAAGCCAGAGUAGCAAAGAUUUCUAUCGUAUUCAAUAUUCUAGAAUGUGUUCUAUUCGGCACUUGAUUUUUACAUGCUAUGUGAUUUCCCACAAAAAAGAAAACAUAUAGUUAAAUAAAGAACAUGUUAUACGGUUUUGUUCACACCAUUAUUUGCCAUUUCACUUAAUCAUAUUGAUCUGGUGUUCAAAUAAAUAAAUUUUAUAGCACAUGGUAUACUAUCAUUUGGAUGCUAGAAAUUGUAAGAUGUAUGUAGCAUGUGUGUACGAAAUUGUGCAUUGUAUGUGAAAGAUGUAUGAAUUAUGCAAUGUGUAUGAAAUCUAUAUUGUGAAAUGUAUCUUGUGAUGUCCAUGUUUGACUCAAGGUACGUGUUGCGCAUUUUGCAAGCUAUCAUUGCGUGAAUGGCAUCAUAUCCAGUUGGACCUCACUUAGCUCAUGAUAAACAAACUACCUAUCAUUUUGCAACAAAUAUCACAUCAACUUCAGGUUGUUCUUUUCGUCGCCCUUAGUAGUGUAUCUUAAUACUUCAUAGUGGUAAAUCAUGUGGAAGAAUUGUAAAAUAUAACAUUUAUUGCUCUUGUAUAUGCUUAUUGUUCCGGGUUAAAAAAAGCAUGUCCACAUAUUUUAAAAUGUUGAUUUAAUUAUAAAAGGUGUCCACGCAAUUAAAAAGAUCAUACAACUAAGAACAUUAUUCCUGAAUUUAAAUAAAGUUUGCAUAAUUUCUCAAAGUGCUCACUCAUUUAUAAAAAUGUUUAUGUAAAAUUUAAAAAAUGUUCUCACAUUUUAAUAAAAUAUGGACACACAUAAAAGACAUGCAUAUAAUUUUAUGGAAGUGUUCACAUUCUUUUAAUGUUCACAUAAUUUAGAAAAGUUUCGCAUAUUGUCAAAGAAAUGUGCACAUGUUUAGAAAGUGUUCUUACAUUUUUCUUAAAAGUCAUACAUUUUGAGAAACUUAGUGUAAAUUUAAAAAGUAUUCACAUAUUUUUGACAAAAAAUUUACGUAAUGUUUGAAGAUGCUCACACAUUUUAGGACAUGUUACAAAGGUAUCACACAUUUUAUAAACAAAUCAUGCAAAUUCCAAAAAAAAUUAAAAUGCAAAAAAUAAAAAGGGAAUGAUAAAAAGAAACUUCAUAAGGUAAAACAGAAAAAAUGAAACAUGGAAAACCAAAUAAUUGCGGUCUAGAGACAACUUUUUCUUAAAAUCACACGGUCAUUUUAUUGCUCUAUAACAAGGGGUACAAUAGAGGGGUCUCUUGGUUGAAGAAGCCACAAGAAUUGACCAUGUUCGAGGACAAAGCACUCUUGAGAAGAUUGUGAGCAAGAACUAGAGACUACUAAUACCUCCAGAGGAUAAAAGGAAGGAAAAAUGCUACUACUGGGGCACGGCCUAAGUCGGGAACACUAGAGGAGAAUUUGGCUUAUGUUUCGCAAUAAGCUAGAUAUAGCCUUUGCAUGAAAACAUGACCGUCAUAGUAAGUACUGCACACACACUCCUUUGAUUCAAAGGAAUUCUAUAAGAUUUUUGUAAGAUUUGGACCCUUAGGAAUCUUUCCUACGGUGGCAAUCCCUAGGAACUUUUUCACACGACUCAGUUGUGCUCCAUUUUGAACGAAAAGUUCCAUGCGCUCAAAUCUCUUAGUAAAGUUCUAUUUUUUCUAUAUAAUAUCGAAUUAUAUUCAAUCCAAUUCCAUUAGCUUUGUAAUACUAGGAUGCAAGAGUACAAGCCGCCCUAGUCCUACGUUUUUCCUGCUUCCAUGUUUUGAGGAUCCACUAUCAAUCACUUCACCCCACGCGCAGUUUACAUCUUAUGCAUGCUUUGAUGCUUCUGUAGAUGUAUAUCUUGCAUAGAGCUAAUCACACGACACACAUUUCAGCAUAUGAUCAUGUGCUCUAUGUCCAUAUGAAACCACACUCAAAAAUGUGGUGUGUGUCUCCACGAUGGUUGUCGUUACUAUUGCAAUCUUGGACAUGGAGGAGUAGCAUGUGGUAGAUCUGGCCCAUUCGUGGUUGUAACUGGGGAGGGGGGGAUUCAUUAUCAAUGAUAUGCAAGCGUAUUGCCAACUUGGAUUGAUGAUAUGAUCGAAAGAUAUGCCAUGUAAGGUUGAAACCGAGUUUGACCAAGGAUUACUGCCAUUACGCAUGCUACGUAGUAUUGGUAGCUUAGAAUAAAAUCACACUAGGCAUUAGUUGUGGGUGGUGAGUGACGUUAAGAAAGAUGAUGAUACUUUCCCCGCUCGUGAGUUGGGGCUCUUUUACAUCACUCUAUUGCUCCUCAACCCUAGAUAUGAGUACCUAGCCAGUCCAACCAUCCUUAUGUAAGGUUAACUUGGUCAUUUUCCAUAGGGUAUAUUUAUUGGACAUUCCAUGUUAUUCAAUACAUGCCACUACUCCAUGAGUGCCCCUAAACCUUUUAGUAGCUUGCAAUCGUUUGCCUCUGCGUAGCAUUGAAUAACUAGCACUCCCAAUGCCAAUGUCAAGCCACCACUAGCAUUCACCAGCAUUGACUCACAUCACGACCACCUCCAAAUCAACUGCAUGCAAAUCUUAAAGGAGAAUGCAUACAUAUUUUCUUUACUUACAUAGUAGUAGUAAAGUAAGGCAACAAUUUAUGUUGUGACACCAAAAAAUCCAGUACCUGAAAGUAGCUUUGAAGAAAGUCAUCUCCAAGAAUGAUACUUUCUAAUAUCUUUACUUAAUAGAAAAUGAAUAUGACAUGGACAUUGCUUUAGUUGACAAUCUGCACACUUUAUCGAUGCAUGAGCUUAUGGUUAUUGUAGCUUUCUGAAGUAGAGGCUUUGCCUAAGUUUGUAGAUAAGUAUAAUUGGACCAAUAUAAUAUUGCAACAAGAAAUAUAAUGAAAUCAAGAGGUUUGAGAUGGAUUUUCUAAUUGCUGUGAAUUGCAUGAUAACACAAAGUUUUCAUUUAUUAUUUUCACCGUAAAAAAUCUUUCAUAAUUUUCUCCAACAUGCACACGGUCUGUGCAUCCUUGUUUAGUGCAGAAAGCCAAAGUACCAAACAUUUUUGUUGUGUUGAAUAUUUUAGAAUGUAUUAUUUUUGGCACUUGAUUUUAACAUGUUAUGCGAUUUCCCGCAAAAAAGAACAUGUUAUAAAAUUCAGUUGGCAUCAUAGUUUGUCAUUUAUCUUAAUCAUAUUGAUCUCGUGUUCAAAAAGUAAAGUUUAUAGCAGAUGCUAUAUGCUCAUUUGGAUGCUAGAAAUUGUACGAUGUUUGUCACAUGUGUGUAUGAAAUUUUGUAAUGUAUGUGAAAGAUGUAUGAAUUAUGCAAUGUGUAUGAAAUCUAUAUUGUGAAAUGUAUCUUGUGAUGUCCAUGUUUGUCUCAAGAUAUGUGGCGUGCAUUCCGUACGCUAUCAUUGCUCCUGUUCAAGAAUGCAUCCAAUUAACUUGCCAAUUAAUCCCUACUAGUAGGGUGACCGAGUAGCCGAUAAACUGAUAAAUCGUCCGAUUAAUUGAUUAAAUGGCCAAUUAACUUGCCUAUUAGCCUAUUAAUCUCCUACUCGCCAGCCAAUCGAGUAGCUACCAGUUAAUGAUUCCCUCAACAAUGAUCCUUGCAUGAAUGGCCUCAUAUCUAGUUGGACCUUAAGUUAGCUCAUUAUAUACAGACUACCUAUCAUUCUGCUACAAAUAUCACAUCAACUUCAGUUGGCUCUUCUCAUCACUUUCUGUAGUGUUUCUAUAUGCUUCAUUGUGGUAAAUCAUGUAUUAGCGAAGAACUGUAAAAUAUAACAUUUGCUGCUCUUAUAUAUGCUUAUGGUUUGGGGUUCCAAAGAUGUCCACAUAUUUUAAAAUGUUGAUUGAAUUAUAAAAGGUGUUCGUGCAUUUUUAUUAAAAUGCUCAUGUGAUUUUGAAAGAUGUUCAUGCAAUUAAAAAGAUCAUAUUACUAAGAAAAGUAUUCUUGUAUUAAGUAAAGUCUGCAUAAUAUUUAAACUACCCACUGAUUAAAAAAAUAUUUAUGUAAAUUUCAAAAAAUAUUCUCACAUUUUUUUAAAAUAUGGACACACUUAAAAGAUAUGCAUAUAAUUUUAUAAAGAGUUCACAUAGUUUUUUAAAAAAUGUUCACAUAAUUUAGAAAAGUAUUCGCAUAUUUUGAAAGAAAUGUAUACAUGUUUAAAAAGUGAUCAUACAUUUAUUUUAAAUAUCACAAGUUUUUAAAAUCUUUUGGUAAAAAAUAUUCACGUAUUUUUCCCAUAAUAUUGUGUAAUAUUUGAAGAUGCUCACAUAUUUUAUAACGUGUUACAAAGGUUUCAUACAUUUUAUAAAAAUCAUGCAAUUUCCAAAAAAAUAUUUUAAAAAUAAAGUAGAAAACAAAGCAAACAAUAAGGAAAUAAUAAAAAUAAAUUUAAUAAUGUAAACACAGAAAAAAUUAAGCAUUGAAAAAUCGAAUAAAUGUGGUCUAGAGAAAACUAGAGACUUACUUUGUUUAGGAUCACAUAGUCAUUUUAUUGAUUUUCAUGCAACGUUACCCAUCACAAUUCCAUCCACUGAAAUCUCUUAGUAGAAUUCUAUUGUUUUCUCUAUGCUAUCAAACAAUUUUCAAUCCAAAUUCCUUUAGCUUUGUAAUACUAGGAUGCAAUAGGACAUGACAAUCCAGUCUUAAGCUUUUCGUAUUUCCGUGUUUCGAGAAUCCACUAUCAACCACUUCACUCCCACGCGUAGCUCGCAUCUUACACAUGCUUUGAUGCUACUAUGGAUGUAUAUCUUGCAUAAAGCUAAUCACACGACAUAAAUUUCAGCUUAAGAUCAUGCGCUCUAUGGUCAUAGAAACAUCAACCAAGAAUGGGGAGUGUGUCUCCACGACGGUUGUCACUGUGAUUGCAAUCAUGGACAUGGAGGAGCAGCAAGCGGUAAAUUUGGUCCAUUCACGGUUGUAACUGGCGAGGGGGGGGGGUGGUCAUUAUGAAUGAUAUGCAAGUGUAUUGCCAACUUGGAUUAAUGAUAUGAUGGAAAGAUAUGACAUAUAAGGUCGAAGCCGAGCUUGACCAAUGAUUACUGCCACUAUGCAAUGCUACGUAGUAUUUGUGGUUUAGAAUAAAAUCACCUUAAACAUUGGUUGAGCGAUGAAAGCUAUACAUGAUAAUUUAAUUUAUGGAAAACACAUUAAUUUUCUCAACAGAAAAUGUCUCGCGGAUCAAUGAUCAUCCUCAAUUGCCAAAUUAAUGUAUAACUUAGAGUUGCACACGAUUUGGACUAACUUGCAAGUGUUAAGACAAGUGGAGAACAUUUAAUAUCAUAAUGUUCUUCAAUACCUCGACCAUUCACAAAAUAAACUCGUUGACUAGUAAGAGUCUAAUUUUUUGCGAAAGGGAUACAAAUCUAUUAUAGAUGAUCACUGGAAGUACAAUGCACCCAAAACAAAAUAAACUCUGCUCUCUAGACCACUGAACGACCACUAGCAUCGACAGAACAAGCCGUUGUUGCCUCUCCCCUACUAGAGCCGGCGCAACCUUGUAGAUGAUAGCCGGAAGCCUCCGUGCGGGUGUCCGUAGGACUGGCACCCCAGAGCCGUAGUCAUCACUGUUAAAGCAUUGAAUCAAUCUGCAGCAUGUGACAUCGGAUCUCGAAGUCGUCCAAGUAUGACGCGAAAUCCUAACCUCGUCGUCCCAAGGAGACGACAAAAAUCUAUGUCAGAACUACGUCGACUUAAUCCUGAUGGUGAAGUUGAGGACGAUCAGAGCCUGAAACACCAGCUCGAAGAUGAAGCACUGCCAUUUGCCUAAGCGUCGCCCUUGCGGGGACUAAAUACCCCUAACCCAAACUACAAGCCGGAGCCGAGGCACCGGGAUUCCAUCUGUCAAUGGCCACCGAAGCAGCAGUCAGGGGAGGCAAAUUCAAGGGUGCACCGGCAAAGCCUGAAGGGGACCGUGUUUGUAGGUACGUUCACUUAAAUAGUAGAUGUGUACCUCGGGAGUUAUGAAUGAAGGACUGUAUCGUUCAGUCUCUCUUUGAUUCACAAGAUUCUUUCAACGCUGGAAUAAAAAAUUAUAUGACUAGUGCCAUGUCCUUUUGAAUUCCGUAGAAUUAAAAACCUACAUAAAUUUGGAUGAAGGAGUGCUUAAUAGCAUAGGAAAAAUGGUGAAAUUCUUAAGAAAUGGCUUGAGUGGAUGAAAAUUUCCCUCCAAAACAGGAUGCAAUGGAAUUCAAAGGAAAAGUUCCAAAGAAUUGCAAUCAUGUGAAUCAAACUGCAACGCAUGAAAAGAUUCCUAAGGAUUUAGAUCCUCUAAAUUUCUACAAAAUCCCUGUGAAUCAAAGGAGGUCUAAACAUGUUUCGUGCAUAACUAGUACGUCUUGAAAGAGACGUGUACAUCCACAGUAUUGAACAUGUUGCAUACACACUCAUGUGUUAUGUUCUGCCUAAUUACAAUUCUGAUUCUGGAGCACCGCUUCUGUCCAGGAAAUGAAGGACAAGUUUAUCUCCGUCGGUCUCGGUCCUCAUCAGGUCACUUCUUCUCAUUGGUAAUGGUCAUUCACCCCCACUUCCGGCCACAAGAAGAGGUCUCGCGUCGCUCUCGAGCGCCCCUCCCCUUCCCGCGCCGCCGGCCGCUCCGGCCGCGGCGGCCACCUCUCUCCGUGCCGUGAGCUGCCCAACCUAGCCCCUACGCGCCGCUGGUCACUCCGGUCGCGGCGGCCACCGCUCCUUCCGUCAGCGGCCUCCAGCUGGAGACAUGGGCCGCCCCCGCUCCCGUAGAUCUAGUGCUAGUGGUAGCCGGCGUGCAUCCACGCCUGCCUCACCUGCGUCCUCCGGUCCGUCCAUGGUGCCGGAUUCCUAGCUGCCCCGCGACGUCAAUGCGCGAAAUCCCGAAUCCCCGUGCCGGAUCCUAUUUCGUGGAGAGUGCUCCACCGCCUCGGCCCUGCUCCGCCCAGCGGAUCCUGCUGCGGAUCCCAUCCCUUUGCCUCUUUUGGAGCGACCGCGCCUUCAAUCCAUAGUUGUCGCGCCUGCGGCCUCCGCCAGUUCGCCUUCCCUGGAGCCGGACCGUGGUUGGACUAUGGUCUAAUCCCGGAAAGGCCGGCGCCCCAACUCUGGCCGUGCGGGCAAUAGGCCGCGCUUUUCUCCAUCCCUCCUUGGCCGGCGUGGAGCCUUCAAUGCAUCUGCCGGCCGGGCUGCCUUCUUAAGCCAGUUCAGGGGGAAGUGUUUUCGCUGCCUGAGCAAGAAACACCGUAGGAAGGACUGCCGGGACCCGAUCUACUGCAUCAUCUGCAACCUUUCCGGCCAGUUCGGCCGGGAGUGCCCGCAGAAUCCCAAGCGUAACCCCGCCGCGGCCUCGGCUCGGGUGCCGGUGCGGGAUAGGCUUCGCUUCCCUACUGCUGCUGCCGUAACUCCGCCACCAAACUUCGCCGCGUCCCCGUCGUCUGCCAUGGAGGGUACCCACGUCGCCGACCCUGCGCGCCGUCCGCGCCACAGCUGCAAGGUGGUCAUGUCAACCCCUGCCCUGGAGCACGCCGUCUUCGUCCUCAAGCGCCAGGCCGUGCUGCUCACGGCGGCGGACGCCAGGCGGACCUCCUCUGCCAUGGCGGUCGGCCAGGAGCUGGAGGCGCGGCUGCGCAUCCAGCCGCACCAGCUGCGGAUCACCUGCCACGACCCGGAGGAAUACCUCAUCAUCUUCGACCUGCCGAUUCACCAGGAGCAAGUGGCCAAGCUGGGCGCCCUGACGGUCGACGGCGCCAAAUUCUUCAUCAAGCGCUGGCAUGAAGACGACCAUGCGGUGAUCCAGCCUUUCAACUACCAUGUCCGAGUCGUCAUCGAGAAGAUGCCUGCUGGGUCUGGGUGUGGGAUGUCGGCCUCAUCCCGACCAAGCACACCUUCUGGCUGAUGCAGCGCGGGGCGGGCAGAGUGGACGAGAUGCUGGGCUUCUCGCUGCCUGGCCGAGCCGUUGCUGCGCCGCCGUCCGCCAGCCGCCACGACGUCCUCAUCCACGUCGAUCGCAUCGAGGACUGGACUCCAUACGAGCCGCAGUCGCCUCGCUCCGCUCAGAGCGGCCUGCCGUCCUCGGACUCGGACGACGACGACAGGCCGAUGUCGCGCAUCAUCGCGGCUGGCUCCUGGAAGAAGGGCGUGGAGGACGGCCAGCGUGAGCCACAGCAUCGCCGUCAACUCGCCGCGCUGGCGGAUAUGGGGUGCCGCGGCGGUGCCCGUGGCGGCGGCAGGAAGGACGACGAGGGCGACGACCGAGGCGGGCGCAGAUCUUGGAAAGACACCCUCCUCGGUCACAGCCGUGCGGGUAAGGAGAAGGUGGUGGAGACGGAGGCCUCCUCGCGUCGCCGCAGCCGCUCCCCUCCGGGCCAGCGCCGCUCGGAGAGCUCCUGGGGCCGCCACAACUCUGGUCGCCGCCGUGCAGCGGGUGCAGGGGCCGCCCUGCUCUAGGCCACGCGGCCCCUGCCCCCCAGGCGCAUGCCGAUGCGCCACCAAUCGCUGACCCGAUUGCGGAUUUCUUCGCCGGCGCCAAGAUCCCGCUCCCGCCCCCCCCCCUUUCGACUGCAUGGCCGCUGAGCUGGAGGCUCACGCGGCGGCUGCCGUUUCUGAGCCCCUGCAAUUCAACGGAGAAGUCAACAACGCCACGGCCGCGACCACGGGCCUGCUGGANNNNNNNNNNNNNNNNNNNNNNNNNNNNNNNNNNNNNNNNNNNNNNNNNNNNNNNNNNNNNNNNNNNNNNNNNNNNNNNNNNNNNNNNNNNNNNNNNNNNNNNNNNNNNNNNNNNNNNNNNNNNNNNNNNNNNNNNNNNNNNNNNNNNNNNNNNNNNNNNNNNNNNNNNNNNNNNNNNNNNNNNNNNNNNNNNNNNNNNNNNNNNNNNNNNNNNNNNNNNNNNNNNNNNNNNNNNNNNNNNNNNNNNNNNNNNNNNNNNNNNNNNNNNNNNNNNNNNNNNNNNNNNNNNNNNNNNNNNNNNNNNNNNNNNNNNNNNNNNNNNNNNNNNNNNNNNNNNNNNNNNNNNNGACCAGGACUGCGCCGCCCCCCGUUCGUCACAGCGCCAGGCAGGCGGCCAACCCGUCCCCAGUGCCAGUCGCGCAACAGGGAACCCUCAGGCUGGUGCGCGAGCUGGGCCUGCUGGGUCCCAAGGAGAAGAUGACCGCCAAGGCUGCAGAGAAGCUUCCGCGCAAGUUCGAUGAGCCACUCUCCGACGAAGACAUUGCCUGCAUUGCCAAGCUCACCCGCCUCAGUCACGAGGCGCUGCACGUUGCUGCCGCCAUGGCCGGACCUGAUGGAGCUGCCGAUGAGGCCGUAGUGUGAUCAUGUUAGUUUGUCCUUAUGUUAGUAGUCUCCAACGGCGCCCGGCCUUAAGCGGGGUUGAGUUAGGUCCUGUUAUUGUUUUAGUCAGGUUAGCAGGUAGGUUUAGCUGGUGCUGGUGCAGUUUGGGGCCUAUUGGAGGGUGCCAGCAUCCCCACGUGCGUGGUUGUGUGUGGUUGUUUUCCGUCCUGAACUCUAUCAAUGGUAGUAGUUGUCGUUGGAGUAUGCUCUGGUUUCCAUAUGGAUGACAACCACUGCCCAAUUCUUAGUUGGAAUGUGCGGGGGUUGAACAUGCCAGCCAAACGUGAUGAUGUGUGCGAAACUGCGGCAGCGCAUCGACCAGCAAUCCUGUGCCUCCAAGAAACCAAGAUCGAUGUAUGGUCGCCGGCCCUAGUCAAGGAUGUAGGAGGAGCGAGGCUUGCUGACUACAUAGUCCUCCCUGCGAUAGGCACCAGGGGAGGGAUCGCAGUUCUGUGGGAUAAGCAGAUCGUCUCGAUCGUCUCUCACGCUGUAGGAGAGUUUGCCAUAACUGCAAAAGUUACCGUCCUGCGCACGGCGACCACGUUCUGGCUAACCACAGUCUACGGGCCAGCGGACGAGGCUCGGAAAGAUGAUUUUCUAAGAGAGUUAGCUAGCUCUGCGCCGCCCUCGACUGAGCCGUGGCUGCUUACGGGAGAUUUUAACAUAAUCUAUGAGGCGGGGGAUAAAAACAACUUCAACCUAAAUAGGCGCAUUAUGGGUAGGUUUAGAGCUGCGAUCGACUCGGCUUGCCUGCGGGAGAUUAAGUACAAAAAUAGACGCUUCACGUGGAGUAACGAAAGGCAAAACCCUACCUUGGUUAGCAUAGAUAAAUUUUUCUGCAAUGUCAAUUGGGAGGUGCUCUUCCCCGCUUAUGGACUGAUGGCCUCUGCCACGGCGUGCUCUGAUCACUGCCCGCUGAUCCUAGCAUCGUGCGAUGCCCCUAAGCGCCCUGCUCGCUUUCGUUUUGAGUCCUUCUGGCCAAAAUUCCCACAUUUUCAAGCCACCGUCGAGCGGGCUUGGAACCGGCCAGUUCAGCAGCGCUGUGCGUUCUCACGGUUGCAAACCAAGCUGACCAGAACUGCUCGUGAUCUGAAGAUUUGGAGCAAGUCUCUUUUCAGUGAUGCAAAGCUGCAGUUCCAUAUUACCAGCGAGGUCAUCCUGCGGUUAGAAGUAGCUCAAGAGGCAAGAACCCUGUCGGUUGCAGAGUUUACUCUGCGUAGAUUGCUCAAGAUGAGAUUGGUAGGGCUGGCGGCCAUCGAGAGAGCCAGAAAAAGGCAAGCCUCCCGGGUUCUCUGGCUGCGAGCGGGAGAUGCCAGCACCAAGUUCUUUCAUGCCAAGUUCUGCUCAAGAAGGCGCAAAAACUUCAUUCACUCCAUCCAGAGUGACGACAGAAUUGCAAUAACGCAUGCAGACAAGGCCCAAGUCAUCCAGGAUCAUUUUAGCAAGGCAAUGGUAGCUAGCACGGGCCGGAGUGUCACGUUAAACUGGGGUGUGCUGCGGCUGCCAAGGGUCCAAGCCGCUGGUUUGGACAACCCCUUCACCGAAGAUGAAGUUUGGGCAGCAAUUUUGCAGUCGCCGACAGAAAAAGCUCCGGGGCCUGACGGUUUCAUUGGCAGAUUCUUCAGAGCCUGCUGGCCGAUCAUCAAGGAUGACAUUAUGGCGGCGUUCCCCCGCUUCUACAGCCUCGCGGGGGGAAAUUUAGCUGCGCUGAACACGGCGUUUGUGGCGCUGCUUCCAAAGAAAGAGGGUGCCGCGAGAAUAAAUGACUUUCGGCCGAUCAGUUUGAUACAUUCUUUUGCCAAGUUGGUGACCAAGGUUCUGUCAAUCAGACUGACAAAAGUGAUCCACACAAUUGUUUCACCAGCGCAAUCUGCAUUCAUGAAGAAGAAGUGCAUCCAGGAUAGUUUUCUGUACGUGCAAAAUGGAGUACGAGCGUUGUACAGAAGCAGAACACCGUCGCUGCUGUUGAAGCUGGAUAUAUCGAAGGCUUUUGAUAGUGUUUCCUGAGACUACCUGCUGGAGCUGCUGCAAGAACUGGGUUUCAGCGCUCGGUGGAGGGACUGGGUUGCAUGGCUGCUCUCAACGUCGAGCUCUGAGUUCCUCCUCAACGGAACGGCAGGGAGCAGGAUCAAACACCGGAAAGGGCUUCGUCAGGGAGAUCCGCUGUCACCGCUGCUUUUUAUUCUUGCAACUGACCCGUUGCAGCGCCUGAUUGACGAGGCGAUCACGCAACAGAUGAUUAAGCCGUUGCCUAGGAGAGAGCUCAAGCUCAGGGUCAACCUCUACGCAGAUGAUGCCGUGAUUUUCAUGAAUCCGGACAAGGCCGAGAUGGAUGCUUUAGUCGCUAUUCUGCACAUGUUUGGAGAAGCCACGGGCCUGAAGAUAAAUCGUCAGAAAUCAACUGCAACCCGAUCCGUUGUGAAACAGUUGACAUUCAGCAGGUGCUGCAAAGUUUUGGGGGCACUGUGGCCAAUUUCCCGAUGAAAUACCUGGGGUUGCCGCUCACCCUCACCAGAACCAGGAUCAUGCACCUCCAGUUCGUCCCUGAUCGGAUUAGGGCAAGGUUGGUAGGGUGGAAAGGAAAGCUAAUGUCUAUCGCUGGCAGGCGGGUGCUAGUCCGAGCUGUUCUAAGCGCAAUUCCUACCUUUGCUCUCACCGUGCUUCGUAUGCCGAAAAAAUUUCUCAAGGAGAUUGACAAGGUGCGGCGGCGUUUCCUCUGGGCGCCGGAGGAGGAGCUGUCCGGUGGCAAAUGUAAGGUGAACUGGUCCAAGGUUUGCUCUCCGCUGGACAAGGGCGGGCUUGGGGUCCUCGAUCUCGAGCGUUUCGGCAGAGCUCUCCGGCAAAGGUGGCUCUGGCUCACAUGGAAGCACCCGGAGAGGCCAUGGGCGGGCAUGGAAGUGCCGUGCUCGGAAACAGACAAGGCGUUCUUCAGCGCGGCUACGUCAGUCACCGUUGGAAAUGGCCAGACAGCUCGUUUCUGGACCUGCUCCUGGCUGCCAACGGGCACGCUCAGGGUGCUGUUUCCCGCUCUAUAUCAGCACUCGAAGUGGAAGAAUAGGAGUAUGGCCGAUGCCCUGCAUGAGGAUCGCUGGAUCCGAGACCUGGCGCAUGGACAGACAGACCUGGUGGUGCAAGACUGCGUGUGUUUGGCACGGCUGCUGCGAACUGCUUCGAUCUCCCUCAACCUGGACUCCGCAGAUGAAAUUAGUUGGAGUCUCGAGGCCAAUGGCUGCUACUCGGCAUCGUCAGCAUAUCGAGCACAAUUCCAGACCAACCACGGCUCGGUUUUCCCACAGCUCAUUUGGAAAACAUGGGCGCCCGGGAAGCUGAAGGUUUUCUGCUGGCUGCGGAUGCUGGAUAGGUUGUGGUGCAACGACCGACUGCAGCGACGAGGAUGGCCAAACUCAUAUUUCUGCCAAUUCUGUAUGCAGAACCUUGAGACUGCUGAGCACGUUUUCUGGACAUGCCCGUUCACUGCAUCACUCUGGAACAGCUUGUCGACAUGGCAAGGCUGUGAGGCCCUGAGGACGCAGCCUGAAGACAACGACACAACGACAGCUGAUCGGGUGUCGCGGAUUGUGGGGAGCACAAAGCCAGAGUUCAGAAAGGGCAUCAAAUCACUGGCGAUGUUGACGCUCUGGGAGAUCUGGUUGCACCGCAACAGUUGCACUUUUAGAGAAAAGGAGCCCUCCGCGACGGCGGUCAUGCAGGCGAUCAGGAGAGGUAUUGACCUCUGGCGCCAAGCUGGUGCAUCCUGCCUAAUGCACCCGUUCACUCUGCCUCCAGAAGGGAUAGGCUGAUCGUUUUGCCACUGUAUCUUCUCCUAGUGGGCUUGUAAUCUUUUCCUCCUUCCUCCUUUUUCUUUAUCUUUCUCUCUGAUCUGCGGAUCAGCCCCAUGUCUCUGUUUUUCCACAUGCUCUCUGCUAUGAUCAACAUGAAACACCAGCAUCCAAGCUGGGUCUUUAAAAAAAACAAUUCUGAUUCCCUCCGGGAGACCUAUGAACAUCAGUUGUGGUCUCCGCGGCGCCCGUGUGCGUUCGGAAGCUUCUGCUGCUGGACGAUGAGUCGCGCCGGGAGUUGCCGGCCAGUGCCAGAGCCUCCGCAGCUGCGGCACCGCUUGCGGCCGGAGCCGGAGCACGUCCCGCAGCCGACGUCGCCGUCGGACCAACGGCUGCAGAGGCACUCCUCCCGGCCGGUGCCGCGGCACGUGGAGCAACGGGGCCGUGCGUUCCACCUGUACGCCGCCGGCAGCCCGUCGCCCGUCGUCCGGUUCGCCGUCGCCACGCCCGCCACGCCCGCCAGCAUCCCGAGGCCCGCCGCCGCGAUCACCUCGGGCGCCACCAUCUUCACAGAAGAACCAAUCCAAGAACCUUUCUUGCCGUAUGGUGCUGGUAGGAGUGGAAGAAAAGAUUUUGGAUGGGUGCCAGUGGUCGGGGUGCGUCGGUUGAUUUAUAGGACUUUUUCCGGUGGUGGAUGCUGGGCUCGCUUAGUCUAGCAGCUUGGAGAGUAGCCGAGCCGCGGAAGGGAUGGCGUGUCGCCUAUACUCUGCUCGGCGAUUCUGUUUCGGUUUCGUGCGUGCGUACUGCAAGCCAUGGCUGCUUGCUGGCUGCUCCACGUGGAUUUACGUGCUCCAUUGCCGUCUCCACGCUACGGGACGUAUUCGCAGCAAGGCAUAUGGUUUGUCCUCUGCAUUCUUAUGAAUUCCGUUAACGUUUACUCCUAGUUGCAACAUACUGUUGGGUAUACGUCGCGGACAGGAUGGAAGCGCGUAUGCAUGUCUCAACCGUCGACCAAAAGCUCACUAACAGCCAAACUAUAGCACAAACGCCACAUCGCCACUGCAUCCUAAAUUCCCCAAGUGCUAUAUUUUUCGCUGUCGUAUAUGCAUUGAGCUAUAGUGGGGUCAUUGCCUACUGGGUUCGUUCCCACGUUGAUUAAUGGGUACCGCUAGGGAUCAUCUUGCUAUUGUAGUUUUCUGCAGGAGAGGCUUUGACUAAAGGCAUCUUCAAUGGCAACCCGUAAAAUGUCUUCCGCAUCCGUCCAUAGAUAGAGGGACCAGUCCGCGGACACGGAUGCGGGAGGACGGCAUCUAACGCCAGCCGCAUACAUUUUCAACCGAACGAAAUUCGUGCAAAAAUGGCCGGAUUUCAUAUAAAAAGGCGGAUUUUUAUAUAAACAGUACAUUUACAUCAACGACGCUAGUCCGGCUCCGUAGGUAUAACUAAUACCUAAUCUAAAUGGCCGCCCGCGGAUCCCUUUGUGUUCCUCAUGUCCGGCAGCCCGAUCACCGGACUGUCGGGAGCCACAGAGGUAUAUGCUUCAGCGCAAAGGACGGCUCGCUUCUGCAUCGUCAUCGGAGCGGAACCCCGGCUGAUGCUUCAUCGGUAGGGGAAGGGGGGCGCUUCCGCUUCCGUGGAGCUCAUGCGGGCUGUGAACGUCGCCGUCGCCUCGGCAGUGGACUCCCGUGUUCUACUUCUUCUCGAUGAUAGCGGCGGACGCGGGGGCGCCGGCCACCGACCCAAGUUGUAGUCUCCGCGCACCCGGCUCCUAUCUCCGCCUGCAUGGCACGGUCGCACGCACGGGAGGCGCGGUCACACGCACGGGAGGCGCGGCCGCAGACACGGGAGGCGUGGUCACACACACAGGAGGCGCUGCCUUAGACACAGGAGGCGUGCGUGAGUCUAUUGGCGAGGAACCAGAAGGUGUGCGCGUCACCAGAACUGGUAGUGGCCGCAUCGUCUGCGUCGGAGCGUGGCGGGUGCGCGAGCCAGGGGUGCAGGACAUGGGUGAGUGGGCGCGUUGCGGGCGCGGCGUGGCGCGUGUGCGCUUGCACGUAUAAGACUCCCAUACCCCUGUGUACUGUUGUGUGGCUCGAGUUGUUGCUUGGGGAAAAAAGGCCGUCGUUGCAGCGGGCGUUCGAGCGCCAGAACGCCCGUGUCCAGCUUCUUCUUCCUCCUUUUCUCUUCUUGGGCUUGUGCCAGAGAGAGUGAGCGUGAGAGAGAGAGAGAGAUGGGACGAGCUAGGGGGUUGAAGAAAUCCCUACAGUGAUUUAAGUUUCGUGCGUGUGUGGGGCUGUGGGCCAGCGACUUGUCUGAUGAACCAAUUUUUUAUAUCCGCUAGGCCUGGGGGUGGGGGGGGGCUGCAAGGAACCAAGCACGCCCUAUUGCUACUGCAUUACCAUGCAGUAGUUUCAUGGGACCAACCGGUGACUCGAUAGAAGCCCAUACACAUGGUGUAAGACAAAUAAAUGAUGCAAGGAUAUCUCUCCUUUUGUUAAUAUACAUUAUUGCUAGAUGGAGACCAUAAUAUUUAAAUUAUGCAUGUUACACUAUUAGGGAAAAGCUUAUAGGCAGACGCUUACUAGUAGCGCGGGUUUAUACCCCUCGCUACUGCUAAUUACUAGUAGCGCAUGUUUUGACCCCUCACUGCCACUAAGUUGAUAGUAGUAGCGCGGAUUUUUACCCCUCGCUACUACUAAGUGAUUUUCACCGUGCCUUCCGGGACCAGCCGUAGUAGUAGCGCUGGUUAUAAACCCACGCUACUACUAAGUUGAUAGUAGUAGCGCGGGUUAUAAAUCCCAGGCUACUACUAAGUGGUCUCUACCGUGCACCCCAGGACAUGCCAUAGUAGUAGCGUGGGUAUAAACCCAGCGCUACUAUUAUCAACCCACCGACACAUGUAUAAACAUAGCGCACGGAGGCCCAAUCCCACACCCACACUCUCUCGAUUUCACUUCUCCCUCCCACCUGCGACGCCCUUCCUCGCCCACCGCAACUGUCGGCCUCGCAGCUCGACGUCUCCCUCAAAUCCGGCGACCUCCUCUUCCACCGUAGCCCCUCCUUCCUCCUCCUCCUCCUCCGCUGCUGGAAGGAGAGGAAGAUCCAGCAGAGCGCCGCCCAUGACGAUGGCCAAGUCUCUGAUGGACGCAACCCAUGGCGUCAUCUAGGGUUUCGGCUCCAAUUUCGGUGGCCACUGGUGAGUUGCUGCACCUACUCCUCUCUAUCUCUCUCUUCCUCUUAUAAUCCUUGUCUCUUUUUUUGUAGCAGUAGCAAAGGAGAGGUGUGGAGAAGAGUUGGAUGGGGAAGCACCCUCUCCAUGGACGACUUCAUCCCCUCUAGGAUCAGCAUCGGCCAUGGAUGAAGAGGACGAUGACACCUAGCAGCAGCAGCCAUGGCUGGAACUUAUUUUUUUUCCUAAUUAGUUAGCAGUAGCGAGGGUCCAGAACCACGCUACUACUAGUUAGUAGUAGCGCGGGUGGUAUCCACACUACUACUAACGGACGUAGUAGUAGCACGGGUGGCACCCGCGCUGCUACUACCAGUUAGCUGUAAGACCGUAUCAGUAGCGCGGGCACCCGCGCUGCUACUACCAGUUAGCUGUAACACCGUAUCAGUAGCGCGGGCACCCGCGCUACUGAUAUACCUAAAACCCGCGCUACUGCUAGGCUUUUCCCUAGUAGUGUUAUCUUAAUUCUCUCUCUAACACACCCUUGAUUGGAAAUGUCCAUGCAUGCUUUAGUUAUUAGUAUAGUUGAUUUCACGGUUACGCAAGAAUGCUAAAGAAGACCAUAAGGCCAUGAACCGGUAAUGUUAAUUUUACUAUGAAAGUAUUGGAGUUCCCUAAAAAAUAGAAGUAUUGGAGUACUAAUUCUUUUUCUACAAUUCAAAUUAAUAUAUUAUCAUUAAUGCCUCGCGUACUUGCUCUGGUAUUUAGUCACAAGAUCAUAUAUUAAUUCACGCUCACCAACUCCUUCAAAGAUAGAUGGAGAAAAUAUUUAUGUCCUUAUUUUGUACACCUUCUAACAUACAUAUAAGUAUUGAGACCUCCAUUGGUUGGAUAGGGUAAGAUGGGAGCACAUUGCAAACUUAGAUCUAGUUAGAAAGGUAGAGCCGGGCAAGGAUCUCCUAGUUUGCACUACUAGAGAAACUAAAGCUUCUACAUAUGAUGGUUUAGAACUAAUGUUGGGAAUGAGGGGAGCCAGAAAAUAUUCUCUUUGGAUGAGCCCACGAUAUGGGGAAGCACCUCCUGAUCAUGAAAUCCAUUAUCAACUCGUCACAAAAUAGUCUUAGCACCAUCACUUUAUGUGUGAUACCUUAUUGGUGUGUAACCAUUCUGAACUAUUUAUGUCUUCUCUGGUUGCGGGUGGUGAGUGCCAUCAAGAAGAUGGUGAUAACUUCUCCGCUCGUGAGUUGGAGCUCUUUUACAUCACUCUUUUGCUCAUCAACCCUAGAUAUGAGUAUCAAGCCAUUUUGACCAUCCAUACGUAAGGGUAACUUGGUCAUUUUUGAUAGGGUAUAUUAGAAAUUUCAUGUUAUUCCAAUACACCCCACUACUCCACAAGUGCCCCUAAACAAAUUAAUAGCUUGCAAUUGUUUGCCCUUGCGUAGCAUCGAUUGACUAGUGCUUCCGAUGCUAAUGUCGAGCCACCACCAUCCUUCACCAGCAUUGACUCGCAUCACGGCCACCUCUAAAUCAAGUGCAUGCAAAUAUUUAGGGAGAAUGCAUGCGUAUUUUCUUUACUUACAUAACAAAAGUAAAGCAGGGCAACAAUUUAUGUUGUGACACCCAAAAAUCCAGUACCUGAAAGUGGCUCUGAAGAAAAUCAUCUCCAAGAACGAUACAAAAAGUACGAUGUCAGUUCUCUAAUAUAUUUAAUUAAUGCAAAAUGAAGAUGACAUGGACAUUGCUUCAGUUGACAAUCUGCACACUUUAUCAGUGCAUGAGCUUAUAGUUAUUGUAGUUUUCUGAAGGAGAGGUUUUGCCUAAGCUUGUAGAUAUAGUACGAUUGAACCAAUAUUGUAACAAGAGAACUAAUGAAUCAAGACGUUCGAAAUGGAUUAUCUGAUUGCAGUGAAUUGCAUGUUAACAUGAAAGUUUUCAUUUAUUGUUUUCACGGUGCAAAAAGUUUUCAUAUUUUUCUCCAAUAUGCAGACAAUCUGUGCAUCCUUAUAUAAUGUAAAAAGACAGAGUAGCAAAGAUUUCUAUCGUGUUCAAUAUUCCAGAAUGUAUUCUAUUUGGCACUUGAUUUUAACACGCUAUGUGAGUUCCCGCAAAAAAGAACAUAUAGAACAUGUUAUGCAGUUUUGUUGACACCAUUAUUUGUCAUUUUGCUUAAUCAUAUUGAUUUGGUGUUCAACUAAAUAAAUUUUAUAGCACAUCGUAUUUUAUCAUUUGGAUGCUAGAAAUUGUAAGAUGUAUGUAGCAUGUGUGUACGAAAUUGUGUAGUGUAUGCGAAAGAUGUAUGGAAUAUAUAUUGUGAAAUGUAUCUUAUGAUGCCCAUGUUUGACUCAAGGUACGUGUUGUGCAUUUUGCAAGCUAUCAUUGCGUGAAUGCCAUCAUAUCCAGUUGGACCUCACUUAGCUCAUGAUAAACACACUACCUAUCAUUUAGCAACAAAUAUCACAUCAACUUCAGGUUGUUCUUUUCAUCACCUUAAGUAGUGUAUCUUAAUACUUCAUUGUGGUAAAUCAUGUGGAAGAAUUGUAAAAUAUAACAUUUGUUGUUAUUGUAUAUGCUUAUUGUUUCGGGUUUAAAAAAAGCAUGCCCACAGAUUUUAAAAUGUUGAUUUAAUUAUAAAAGGUGUCCACGCAAUUAAAAAGAUCAUACAACUAAGAAAACGAUUCAUGAAUUUAAAUAAAGUUUGCAUAAGUGCUCACUCAUUAACAAGAAUGUUUAUGUAAAAUUUCAAAAUUGUUCUCUCAUUUUAAUAAAAUAUGGUCACACAUAAAAGGCAUGCAUAUAAUUUUAUAGAAGAGUUCAAAUUUUUUAAUGUUCACAUAAUUUAGAAAAGUUUCGCAUAUUAUCGAAGAAAUGUGCACAUGUUUAGGAAGUGUUCAUAUAUUUUUCUUAAAAGUCAUACAUUUUGAAAAACUUAGUGUAAAUUUAAAAAGUAUUCACAUAUUUUUGACAAAAAAAUUACGUAAUGUUUGAAGAUGCUCAGUCAUUUUAAGAGAUGUUACAAAGGUAUCACACAUUUUAUAAACAAAUCAUGCAAAUUCCAAAAAAAAGAAAAAUUAAUAAAAAUGCAAAAAAAUAAAAAGGGAAUGAUAAAAAGAAACUUAAUAAGGUAAAACAGAAAAAAUGAAACAUGGAAAACGAAAUAAUUGCGGUCUAGAGAAAACUAGAGACAAGUUUUUCUUAGAAUCACAUGGUCAUUUCGCUCUAUAACAAGGGGUGCAAUAGAGGGAUCUCAUGGCUGAAGAAUCCACAAGAAUUGACCAUGUUCGAGGGACAAAGCACUCUUUAGAAUAUUGUGAGCAAGAACUAGAGGCAACUAAUACCUCCAGAGGAUAAAAGGAAGGAAAAAUGCCACUACUGGGGCACAACCUAAGUCGGGAACACUAGAGGAGUGUGUGGCGUAUGUUUCACAAUAAGCUGGAUAUAGCCUUUGCAUCAAAACAUGACCGUCAUAAUAAGUAAUGCACACACACUCCUUUAAUUGACAGGAAUUAUAUAAGAUUUUUUUAAGAUUUGGACCCUUAGGUAUCUUUCCAAUGAUGCGGAUCCCUAGGAACUUUUCCACAUGACUCAUCUGUGCUCCAUUUUGCACGAAAAAUUCCAUGCACUCAAAUCUCUUAGUAAAGUUCUGUUUUUUCUCCAUGAUAUUGAAUAAUCUUCAAUCCAAAUUCCAUUAGCUUUGUGAUACUAGGAUGCAAGAGUAUAAGGCGCUCUAGUCCUGCAUUUUUCCUGCUUCCGUGUUUUGAGGAUCCACUACCAAUCACUUCACCCCACGCGCGUUUGCAUCUUACACAUGCUUUGAUGCUCAUGUCGAUGUAUAUCUUGCAUAGAGCUAAUCACACGACACGCAUUUCAGCACAGGAUCAUAUGCUCUAUGUCCAUAUGAAACACUCAAGAAUGUGGUGUGUGUCUCCAUGAUGGUUGUCGUUAUUGUUGCAAUCUUGAACAUGGAGGAGCAGCAUGUGGGAGAUCUGGCCCAUUCGUGGUCAUAAGUGGGGAGGAGGGAGAUUCAUCAUCAAUGAUAUGCAAGCGUAUUGCCAACUUGGAUUGAUGAUGUGACGCCCCCGAUUCAAUCGUACACUAAUCAUACACGCAAACGUGUACGAUCAAGAUCAGGGACUCACGGGAAGAUAUCACAACACAACUCUAAAAUAAAAUAAGUCAUACAAGCAUCAUAAUACAAGCCAGGGGCCUCAAGGGCUAGAAUACAAGUGCUCGAUCAUAGACGAGUCAGCGGAAGCAACAAUAUCUGAGUACAGACAUAAGUUAAACAAGUUGCCAUAAGAUGGCUAGCACAAACUGGGAUACAGAUCGAAAGAGGCACAUGCCUCCUGCCUGGGAUCCUCCUAAACUACUCCUGGUCGUCGGCGGCAGCCUGCAUGUACUAGUAGGCACCCUCGUUGCAGUAGGAGUCGUCGAAGGUGGCGUCUGACUCCUGGGCUCCAGCAUCUGGUUGCGACAACCGAGAAGGACUGAAAGGGGGGAAAGAAGGAGAAAAGCAACCAUGAGUACUCAUCCAAAGUACUCGCAAGCAAGGAUCUACACUACAUAUGCAUGGGUACCUGUGUAAAGGGGUAAUAUCGGUGGACUAAACUGCAGAAUGCCAGAAUAAGAGGGGGAUAGCUAGUCUUGUCGAAGACUACGCUUCUGGCAGCCUCCAUCUUGCAGAUGUAGAAGAGAGUAGAUGGUAAGUUCACCAAGUAGCAUCGCAUAGCAUAACCUACCCGGCGAUUCUCUCCUCGUUGCCCUGUGAGAGAGUGAUCACCGGGUUGUAUCUGGCAUUUGAAAGGGUGUGUUCUAUUAAUAUCCGGUUCUAGUUGUCAUAAGGUCGAGGUACAACUCCGGGUCGUCCUGUUACCGAAGAUCACGGCUAUUCGAAUAGAUUAACUUCCCUGCAGGGGUGCACAACAUUACCCAACACGCUCGAUCCCCUUUGGCCGGACACACUUUUCUUGGUCAUGCCCGACCUUGGAAGAUCAACACGUUGCAGCCCCACCUAGGCACAACAGAGAGGUCAGCACGCCGGUCUAAAUCCUAUGGCGCAGGGGUCUGGGCCCAUCGCCCAUUGCACACCUGCAUGUUGCGAGGGCGGCCGGAAGCAGACCUAGCCUCCCUAAUACAAGAGCAGGCGUUCCAGUCCAAUCCGGCGCGCGCCGCUCAGUCGCUGACGUCAAGAAGGCUUCGGCUGAUACCACGACGUCGAGUGCCCAUAACUGUUCCCGUGUAGUUGGUUUGUGUGUAUAGGCUAGUGGCCAGACUUAGAUCAAAUACCAAGAUCUCGUUAAGCGUGUUAAUUGAUGUAACCGCAGACGCCGACCAGGGCCAGGCCCACCUCUCACCCAGGUGGUCUGAACCUGCCCUGUCGCUCCGCCACAAAGUAACAGUAGGGGGCCGUCGAGAACCCAGGCCCACCUCUACUGGGAUGGAGCCACCUGUCCUUUCAGCCCCCACAUCGGAAUCACUUGCGGGUACUCUACGAGCCGACCCGACUUUAGUCACCACAUGUAUCAUAUAAUAUGUAUGUAAGUAUAUACACGUGAUCACCUCCCGAGUGAUCACGACCCGGUAGUAUAGCAUGCCAGACGGACAAGAAUGUAGGGCCACUAAUGGAAUACUAGCAUCCUAUACUAAGCAUUUAGGAUUGCAGGUAAGGGUAACAACUGUAGCAACAAUGGCAGGCUAUGUGGCAGAAUAGGAUUAACCGAAAGCAGUAACAUGCUACACUACUCUAAUGCAAGCUGUAGAGAGAAGGAAUAGGCGAUAUCUGGUGAUNNNNNNNNNNNNNNNNNNNNNNNNNNNNNNNNNNNNNNNNNNNNNNNNNNNNNNNNNNNNNNNNNNNNNNNNNNNNNNNNNNNNNNNNNNNNNNNNNNNNNNNNNNNNNNNNNNNNNNNNNNNNNNNNNNNNNNNNNNNNNNNNNNNNNNNNNNNNNNNNNNNNNNNNNNNNNNNNNGGCAAGAAGGACGGGUCGUCAACACCGUAGUCGAACUUGGGGCCGCCGGCAGCCUCAGGGUCUACCGGAAAGAAGCAACGGAGGGGGAACACAAUAAAUAACAGAGCAAUCAAAGCAUCACAAAGCGUAACAUGGCAAUACGCGGUGCUAGAGAUGACCUAACGCAGUAGGAGGUGAUACCGGCGAAGGGGGGAAACAUCCGGGAAAGUAUCCCCGGUGUUCCGCGUUUUCGAACUGACGGACCGGAGGGGAAAAGUUGCGUGUUCGCUAUGCUAGGGAUGUGUGGCGGACGAACGGGCUACGCAUUUGGAUUCUUCUCGUCGUUCUGAGCAACUUUCAUGUACAAAGUAUUUUCAUCCGAGCAACGGAUUAUUUUAUAUUAAUUUUCAAAAUUUUAAUUCAUUUUUAGAAUUAACAGAAUUAAUUUAAUUAGAAAAUGUAAUUAUGACGUCAGCAUGAUGUCAGGGUGAUGUCAGCAGUUAACUACUCAGUUAACCUAGUCACACUAACGUGUGGGUCCCAUUGUCAUUGUCUAAGACUAACUAAAUAGGUUUAAUUAGUUUAGUUAAUUGAUUAGUUUACUUAAACAAAAUUAAUUAAUUAAUUAAUAUUUUUAUUUUAUUAUUAUUAUUUUUAACCGUUCAGGGGGCGGGGCCCCACUUGUCAUAGGCCCCAGGGGCCUUAACGAGCGUGCGGGCUACGGGCGUGUGGGCGCUGGCGCCCAGCCCGAACGGGCAUCGAUGCUGGAGCGGGCGCCUGCAGCGGGCGCCGGGCGGCGGAGGAGCAGCGAGGCACUGCGGUGGUGGAGCAGCGCGGGGCCGGUGUCAGAGAAGGCGGGCAGUGGCAGGGCAGCGGGCGCGCUGGAGCAGACGAGCAGUGGAGCGGCGAGCAGGGGGGCAGGCGGCGCGUGGCGACAGCGCGGUGGAGCGGGGUGAAGGGCGCGGGCAGGUGCGGUCGCGCGCGGUGGCGCGACGACGAACCAGCAGAGGCGAGGCAUGGAGAGCGAUGACGGCAUGGCACGCGUGGCUGCGGGCGCGGCCUUCGUCACAGCAGGGCGCCGUGCAUGGCGGCUAGGCGCGAGCAGAGGGGCCCGCGCAGGUGCCGGCGAGGCAAGGGCAAGAGGGGGUGGAGCGGCGAGCGAGGCCGUGGCGGAUGGGAUAGCGCACCAGGGAGGCGGCCAGGGUCGGGUGAGCGUGGAUUCGGGCGCGCGGUCGUGUCGCGCGCGCCGCGUACGGCGCCUGGCAAAGAGGAAAAGGAGGAAGGGCGGCAGCUUACCGGGCCCUGCAGAUGUGCGUACGUGGGCUCGGGGAGGAGGAUGAGAACGGGCGAGGUCGAGGCGGCGGUGUUCCGGGGAGGUGGUCCGGCGAGGAGGAGGAUGGGGACGAGCGACGGUGGGAGGAGAUCCGGCGAGGAGCCAGGGCGUCCAUCCAGCGGCGAGGUGGCGUGGUGUGAGGGAUCGGCUCGAUCCGCGUGAGGCAUGGGUCCCGAGCUCCAAUGCGUCCACGUAGUCGAUGAAGACGACGGAGGCGGUGCUCCCGGCGCAGUCUGAGGCGGCGGGGAGGACGCCGGGCGCGAGGAAAGCGGGGUCGGGGCGUCGAGCGCGACCCGAUCCAGAUCUGGAUCGGGGGGGAGAAGAGGGGAUCGUGGGGGGGGAUGUUAGAAAUAUGCCCUAGAGGCAAUAAUAAAUUGGUUAUUAUUAUAUUUCCUUGUUCAUGAUAAUCGUUUAUUAUCCAUGCUAAAAUUGUAUUGAUAGGAAACUCAGAUACAUGUGUGGAUAAAUAGACAACACCAUGUCCCUAGUAAGCCUCUAGUUGACUAGCUCGUUGAUCAAUAGAUGGUUACGGUUUCCUGACCAAGGACAUUGGAUGUCGUUGAUAACGGGAUCACAUCAUUAGGAGAAUGAUGUGAUGGACAAGACCCAAUCCUAAGCCUAGCACAAGAUCGUGUAGUUCGUCUGCUAAAGCUUUUCUAAUGUCAAGUAUCAUUUCCUUAGACCAUGAGAUUGUGCAACUCCCGGAUACCGUAGGAAUGCUUUGGGUGUGACAAACGUCACAACGUAACUGGGUGGCUAUAAAGGUGCACUGCAUGUAUCUCCGAAAGUGUCUGUUGGGUUGGCACGAAUCGAGAUUGGGAUUUGUCACUCCGUGUAAACGGAGAGGUAUCUCUGGGCCCACUCGGUAGGACAUCAUCAUAAUGUGCACAAUGUGACCAAGGAGUUGAUCACGGGAUGAUGUGUUACGGAACGAGUAAGGAGACUUGCCGGUAACGAGAUUGAACAAGGUAUCGGGAUACCGACGAUCAAAUCUCGGGCAAGUACUAUACCGGUAGACAAAGGGAAUUGUAUACGGGAUUGAUUGAAUCCUUAACAUCGUGGCUCAUCCGAUGAGAUCAUCAUGGAACAUGUGGGAGCCAACAUGGGUAUCCAGAUCCCGCUGUUGGUUAUUGGCCGGAGAUAUGUCUCGGUCAUGACUGCAUGGUUCCCGAGCCCGUAGGGUCUACACACUUAAGGUUCGAUGAUGCUAGGGUUAUAGGGAAAGUAUGUACGCGGUUACCGAAUGUUGUUCGGAGUCCCGGAUGAGAUCCCGGACGUCACGAGGAGUUCCCGAGGUAAAGAUUGAUAUAUAGGAAGUGAGGAUUUGGCCACCGGAAGUGUUCCGGGCAUCACCGGUAAUGUACCGGGACCACCGGAAGGGUCCGGGGGUCCACCGGGAGAGGCCACCAGCCCCAGAGGCUUGCGUGGGCCAAUAGUGGGAAGGGACCAGCCCCUAGGUGGGCUGGGGCGCCCCCCACCAAGGCCCAAGGCGCCUCAAGAGAGGAUGGGGGCAAACCCUAGGGCAGAUGGGCCCUAAGGCCCACCCCAGGUGCGCCUCCCCCUCUCCCCCCUUUGGCCGCCACCCUAGAUGGGAUCUGGGGCUGCCGCACCCCUUGGGGUGGGAACCCUAGAGGGGGCGCAGCCCCCUCCCCUCCCCCUAUAUAUAGUUGAGGUCUAGGGGCUGCCCAACAUGCGAGUUAUUCUCUCCCAGGCGCAGCCAUACCUCUCUCCCUCCUCGUCUCUCGUAGUGCUUGGCGAAGCCCUGCUGGAGUUCCGCGCUCCUCCACCACCACCACGCCGUCGUGCUGCUGCUGGACGGAGUCUUCCCCAACUUCUCCUUCUCCCCUUGCUGGAUCAAGGCGUGGGAGACGUCACCGGGUUGCACGUGUGGUGAACGCGGAGGUGCCGUGGUUCGGCGCUUAGAUCGGAAUCAACCGCGAUCUGAAUCGCUACGAGUACGACUCCUUCAUCCGCGUUCUUGCAACGCUUCCACUUAGGGAUCUACAAUGGUAUGUAGAUGCACUCCCCUUUCCCUCGGUGCUAGAUUACUCCAUAGAUUCAUCUUGGUGAUGCAUAGAAAAUUUUAAAUUUCUACUACGAUCCCCAACAGGGNNNNNNNNNNNNNNNNNNNNNNNNNNNNNNNNNNNNNNNNNNNNNNNNNNNNNNNNNNNNNNNNNNNNNNNNNNNNNNNNNNNNNNNNNNNNNNNNNNNNNNNNNNNNNNNNNNNNNNNNNNNNNNNNNNNNNNNNNNNNNNNNNNNNNNNNNNNNNNNNNNNNNNNNNNNNNNNNNNNNNNNNNNNNNNNNNNNNNNNNNNNNNNNNNNNNNNNNNNNNNNNNNNNNNNNNNNNNNNNNNNNNNNNNNNNNNNNNNNNNNNNNNNNNNNNNNNNNNNNNNNNNNNNNNNNNNNNNNNNNCCUUUUUCUUAUUGACAUUUUGUUUUUCUUAAUUUUUUUCCUUUACUGUUUUAUUGUUAGAUUCUCUUUAUUUUAGUUUUAUAAUUAUAAUCUUAGUUCCUAAAAUAGUAUUACUACUUAUUCUAAUGCCACAUAUCUCAGGCACCCAAAUAAGUUAGUUUAAUAUUUUAUAUUUAUAAAAGGCAUUUAAUUAUUGGUUUUGGCUGAUGUUCUAUUUAAUUUGGAGUAUUUAAACAUUUCAUAAAAAUGUGGUUUCACCAUCAUAAUCAUCUAUGAUUUAUUUGCUAUAAUUUGAACAUUUUAGAUUUGACAUUUGAAAACUAUUAUCGUUUGACUUUUAUUCAAAUUUGAAUUUGGUUCGGUUCUGAACUAACGCGAGAUUAACAACAGUAACCGCGGUGAUGUGCCAUCAUUAACAGGGAAUCACUGUAGCUUAAAUAUCCGGGCGUCACAAUUCUCCUCCACUACAAGAAAUCUCGUCCCGAGAUUUAAGAGGGGGAGUGACGGGGAAGGGAUUUGGUUACGAAAUUCUAACAAGCGUUCUCGAUCUUGGUUGCUCUUCUCGAAGCGAUCGAUCCAUUACGUUGAGGUCUUCAUUUCUCUGCUUCAGGUCAUCAUGAUGAAGUCGACAUCCUUUCUUCGGGAACUACAUCGUACUUACGAAAUAAUAAUAAUAAAAAGAGGGCUAUUCCGGGAGAACAAACCUCGGCAAUGUUGACUAUCUGGCCGAUAACAUCAGGGAAGGUGACGGAAAGUAACUCCCAAAUUGAAACUUAAGAAAAUAUCGAGAGCAAAGUAAGGAGAUCUCAUGGGAACUUUCGAGCGGGCAGGCAAUCGUUCGAUGCCUGUAACAGGGCGUGAAAGGGGCUCAAAGCAACGGGAAAAAGUAUUGUGUCUGGUACCAGAAUUGAUGAUCUCUCGAAAGGUGGCUCGUGAAUUACAUACGCGGCCACGCGUGAGGACUAACUAUGGAAACAUGGGGUGUAUAGGAGAUUCAGGUUUCGAUCCUGUGGAAGUGUGGGUUAUGGGCCCGCCAUUUGGGUUAAAAGUAGAAAGGGCGCUGACAUCUGGCAUGAUCAUGCAAGCAAGGCAUGUCAGAGAAUAGUCUGUCAGUUAUGUUGGCGACAACAUUGGUACCAAGGGCGAGGGACGAAGAGAAUCAUUUUCCGGCUCACUGAAACGAGGCGGACCAAUAGGCAAAGUUCUCGUCCAUCGGUGGUUACCGAAAUGUCAUCAACAACAGUAACACGGUCUUACUGACAAGGUUGUACACCAGGGUGUUUACAUAAGCAGCGAAUCAUUACUGCUUAGAUCAUACAAACACCGAGAAAGGUUAAACAAGACAAUGGAAAGGAAAUGUGAUUAUCAGAUUAAACAGAACAAUGGAAAGGAAAAUGUGUUUAAACACAUAUUUCAGGGGGUAUAUCCUUCCCAAGGACAAGCAGAGCAUGAUAUCCAUGACAGGAUAGAAAGUAGAAAACCAUUUAGGUAAUGGGAGACGAAUUUCAUGACAUUACCCAUAUAAUGGUGUUAGGAUAAUUGAUAAAGAAAAUUUAGCAUUGUGCUUCAAAUGUUCUUAUUGAAGAUCGGAGUACCACAGACAUGCUUCGAGAUAGCAUUGGCAAGGUCUUUAAGCAAAGGUCAAAUUUCGGAUACAUGACGGACCCAUCAGGAACAACUUGUAUAAUAAGUCUUACAAUUUCCUCAUGGAGAAUGGCUAACCUUACAAAAAGAAUACCAUAGCAAUAGGUCCUCCGGCCAGGUGUGCUAGGCAUGACACCACCUUACUGGGUCAUAUAAAGACAAUUGUUAUAACUCUUGGAAAUAGGGAAAAUUUUGUUUUUGCCACUCUAGAUUUCGCCAAUUUUCCUUAUGCCACUCUAGAUUUUGACAUUUCACUUUUGUCAUUCUUAGUUUUUGACAAUUAUCACAAUUGCCAUUCCCGUGGCAAAAGCAAAAUUUUCAGAGUGGCAAUUGUGAUAAUUGUCAAAAGCUAAGAGUGGCAAAAAUGAAAUAAAAUUAUUUUGCUUUUCCCACAGAAUGGCAAUUGUGAUAAUUGUCAAACACUAAGAAUGGCAAAAGUGAAAGGUCAAAAUCUAGAGUGGCAUAAGGAAAAUUGGCGAAAUCUAGAGUGGCAAAAACAAAAUUUUCCUUUGGAAAUAUGUUCCAACCAUCAUAUCUGACCAAGAUUCAUAUCUGAUUGGUGUCAGGAUACCUCAGACUCAGGAGGCCUGAGAAGGAAAGGUGCAACACAAAUUGUCGAGAUGACAUUGCAAAAUUCUCGGGGAAUGAACUAUGGAAGCGAGUUCCGAAACAAGAGUUCAUCGUUAAACCAAGGAGAGAGUGAGGAGUUGGCUGAUAGACUCACCGAAAUUCAUUGAGAUUUCCAAAAAGAUGGGUUUCCACAAUUAUGUGAACAAGGAGAUAACAUUUGUCAGAUCAAAUGGUAUAAGAUAAUGAUGUGUGUUCAAGGAAAACAUACACAAUUAAACAUUGGUUGAAAGGUGCGCCCGAAAUAUGGGCCAAGUAGCAAGAUCAAUGUUGGAAUGGUGAUUCAAUAACCAAAAGACUUAGAAUGAAACUAUCGACCAUUCACUUCAAAGCAAUAGGGUUGCUAGAAGUUUUGAAAUCACACAUCAUAGUUAAAUGGCCGGUAUCCCGGUUAGAAACAACAUGGGGACCAAGAUAUGAACGGAGAUGAUGAGAAGUAUUACUAUAUCAAAAAUUAUUAAGAGGUGGAGCAAUCCUUGCAACAUCCUUGACAUAAAGGAUAGUAAUACUUCAAGGUAGAACAUAAUACAACUGGAUAGCAAGUUGCGUCCAUAACAUGAACAAGUUUCUGAUGAAAGGAAGGUAAAGACGUUGUCGAUGGUAACUCAAAUUACCAAGGGACGAGGAUGGCACUUACCAUCGUGAAUUUGAUUGAUAUCCUGGAAGAUCUCCGAAUGCUGAUGAUGAUCAUGCCACAUUUGUCGAGAGAUUUCAUGAAGAUGUAAUCGAUCGGCAAUGACAUCAAGUUAAAAGAACGAUGAAGCGAAAGGUUACUGGAACCAUGGCUACGACACAAACUCGAAAUCAAGUUUGCUGUUCAAGGAGAAAUGAUAUGACGAGGAAGAUUGACGUAAGAUUAGCUCACCGUCUAAAUUUGUGCUCCGGGAAGAAGGACCAGGUAGCACAAUUAAAAUUAGCACGCUCAUGAAGUAACCGAUCGGGCUAGGAGUGACGUGAUGGAGUAUUAAACAUCUCAACAAAAAAGUACCGGGAGUAUUGAAUCACAAUGUUGAUUCGAUUCACUAAUUGGUGUUCUCGGUUGACGACAACCCAGAACCCGUGGAGUGACUAUGAUGGGGAAAGCUACUACUUCAUCAUAAAUUCAUAACAUGUAGUGCAAUGGGGGUGAUAUCCUCGAGAUAACAGGGGGUAAUACUCGAAGGUAGAUCAAAAUAGAGGUUGGUCAGGCGUACUGAUCUGAGAAGGCAAGUAUUUUACUCGUCUGAGAAAUGGGACCAAAGAAAGACAAUAUGGUUGAAACCAUGAUUGCAAAAGACCAAAUCCCAGAUAUGAUAUGAACCUAUACCAAGGGAAUAAUUAAUUUAAGAGAAGUUUCCAUGAUAAGAUCUGCAUCGUGUCCAUGGGCAUGAACACAAAGUUCAAGGUCGACUCCCACUUCUCCAAUGCAUAAUCAUUCAAUCACCUCUCGUAUUUCGAAAAUGACAUUAGUUUUUGAAAGUUUUACCUGGUGCAAUACUAGAUAAGUAUGGCCCGUGAAAUCUUUCGGGUUCACACAAAUUAGGGAAGGCGUUGGUUCAACCCAUCGGGGCAUCUUAGGAACAAAUACCACAAACUUUGGAGUAAAUAGUACAAGCUCGAAAGUAGAGUAUGGUUAUCAAAGCAGAGGAUACAAAUUGUCAAAGGCAUUAUAUAUCAGGGAAAGAACUUCUCGAGGUUUUUGUAUACGGAGGACACUGUCGAAUGAUAUUUCAACAAAGGAUCCAAUGGUCCAUAGCGAAGCUCAUGUGAGUAUCGGCACACAACCAGAGGAAGAAACAAUGCGAAAGCAUUGGAUGAUAGAAGCAACUGGCUAAUUCAAAGCUCACAUGUAAAGGAGUUAUGAUUUCCAAAUCAAAGGAUUGGAAGCAAACGCUGUGAUUAAGGAUGGAUAAAUUGAGUAACCUUAGGGGUAACAUCGACAACAAUUUAAUUGGUCGAGAUUCAGCUCAUGUUUAAAAUGACGUCUGAGCCGAAAGGAUUAAUUCUAGGAUCUGAUUAAGGAUUGCGAGCAUUCGCAACAUAUUGAAUCAAUGGACUCAAAAUGGGAGUGACAAAGGCUGCCAAUAAGAUUACUAUACUUAUGGGAUUAAUCAUAAUGCAAGCAAGCAAGAAUUUCAAGAGCAAUAGGUUGCUGAGGGUUUUCGAAAGAUCGAAGGGUAUUUUGAAGACUUGUGUGAAAUACGUGAAUCAACUGGGGAUGAGCGGAUACUCGGUAAGUGUGAGAAUUAUCCGUAGGGGUAUUCAGGUGGCUUAGAACUGCAAGGCAAUAAGCUCAAAGGAUUCUCGGAACAACAGAUACUCAGAUAGUAUUUCGGGGCAUCUUGUAAUAACAAGAUCAACGGGGAAUGAUUGUAUGAAUGGCAAGUGUAUGCAGUUUUCAUAGGGGUUGACGGUGGAAGGAAAUCGCAAAUGCAAUCGCACAAAGACUCGAGAGAACAUCAUAGAGUAACUUUGGAAUCUUCUAGUGCAGCAGGCGAUCAUCUGAAGUGAGGGGCUCUCCGGAAGAAAGUAUUUUCGAGAACCUAAAGUUAGUUUUGUUUUUAGCAAACUCAUUUAACCCGAAUAGAAGAGAGCUCAGAGUCCCAGAGUAUAGACGAGGAAUAAAAGAUCCUAAUGUCACCCAAUGGCGACGUGGGCCCGUAAGCCACACAGCCAUGUUAGUAAAAGUUUUUUUAAUGACUAGACUCUACUUCGGCCAAGGAGUUGGAAUGGGGGAUUCCUACAGGCAGUCGGCUCUGAUACCAACUUGUGACGCCCCUGAUUCAAUCGUACACUAAUCAUACACGCAAUCGUGUACGAUCAAGAUCAGGGACUCACGGGAAGAUAUCACAACACAACUCUAAAAUAAAAUAAGUCAUACAAGCAUCAUAAUACAAGCCAGGGGCCUCGAGGGCUCGAAUACAAGUGCUCGACCAUAGACGAGUCAGCGGAAGCAAAAAUAUUUGAGUACAGACACAAGUUAAACAAGUUGCCAUAAGAUGGCUAGCACAAACUGGGAUACAGAUCGAAAGAGACGCAGGCCUCCUUCCUGGGAUCCUCCUAAACUACUCCUGGUCGUCAGCGGCGGCCUGCACGUAGUAGUAGGCACCCUCGUUGCAGUAGGAGUCAUCGAAGGUGGCGUCUAACUCCUGGGCUCCAGCAUCUGGUUGCGACAACCGAGAAGGAUGGAAAGGGGGAAAAGAAGGAGAAAAGCAACCGUGAGUACUCAUCCAAAGUACUAGCAAGCAAGGAUCUACACUACAUAUGCAUGGGUAUCUGUGUGAAGGGGCAAUAUCGGUGGACUGAACCGCGGAAUGCCAGAAUAAGAGGGGGAUAGCUAGUCCUGUUGAAAACUACGCUUCUGGCAGCCUCCAUCUUGCAACAUGUAGAAGAGAGUAGAUGGUAAGUUCACCAAGUAGCAUCGCAUAGCAUAAACUACCCGGCGAUUCUCUCCUCGUCGCCCUGUGAGAGAGUGAUCACCGAGUUGUAUCUGGCACUUGAAAGGGUGUGUUUUAUUAAUAUCCGGUUCUAGUUGUCAUAAGGUCAAGGUACAACUCCGGGUCGUCCUGUUACCGAAGAUCACGGCUAUUCGAAUGGAUUAACUUCCCUGAACGGGUGCACCACAUUACCCAACACGCUCGAUCCCCUUUGGCCGGCCACACUUUUCUGGGUCAUGCCCGGCCUUGGAAGAUCAACACGUCGCAGCCCCACCUAGCCACAACAGAGAGGUCAGCAUGCUGGUCUAACUCCUAUGGAGCAGGGGUCUGGGCCCAUCGCCAUUGCACACCUGCAUGUUGCGAGGGCGGCCGAAAGCAGACCUAGCCUCCCUAAUACAAGAGCAGGUGUUCCAGUCCAAUCCGGCGCGCGCCGCUCUGUCGCUGACGUCAAGAAGGCUUCGGCUGAUACCACGACAUCGAGUGCCCAUAACUAUUCCCGUGUAGUUGGUUAGUGCGUAUAGGCCAGUGGCCAGACUCAGAUCAAAUACCAAGAUCUCGUUAAGCAUGUUAAUUGAUGUAACCGCAGACGCCGACCAGGGACGGGCCCACCUCUCACCCAGGUGGUCUCAACCUGCCCUGUCGCUCCGCCACAAAGUAAUAGUCGGGGGCCGUCGGGAACCCAUGCCCACCUCUACCGGAUUGGAGCCACCUGUCCUUUCAGCCCCCACAUCGGAAUCACUUGCGGGUACUCUACGAGCCGACCCGACUUUAGUCACCACAUGUAUCAUAUAAUAUGUAUGUAAGUAUAUACCCGUGAUCACCUCCCGAGUGAUCACGGCCCGGUAGUAUAGCAUGCCAGACGGACAAGAAUUUAGGGCCACUGAUGGAAUACUAGCAUCCUAUGCUAAGCAUUUAGGAUUGCAGGUAAGGGUAACAACUGUACCAACAAUGACAGGCUAUGUAGCAGAAUAGGAUUAACCGAAAGUAGUAACAUGCUACACUACUCUAAUGCAAGCAGUAGAGAGAAGGAAUAGGCGAUAUCUGGUGAUCAAGGGGGGGCUUGCCUGGUUGCGCUGGCAAGAAGGACGAGUCGUCAACACCGUAGUCGAACUGGGGGCCGCCGGCAGCCUCGGGGUCUACCAAAAAGAAGUAACGGAGGGGGAACACAAUAAAUAACAGAGCAAUCAAAGCAUUACAAAGUGUAACAUGGCAAUACGCGGUGCUAGAGGUGACCUAACGCAGUAGUAGGUGAUGCCGGCGAAGGGGGGAAACAUCCGGGAAAGUAUCCCCGGUGUUUCGCGUUUUUGAACAAACGGACCGGAGGGGAAAAGUUGCGUGUUUGCUAUGCUAGGAUUGUGUGGCGGACGAACGGGCUACGUAUUCGGAUUCGUCUCGUCGUUCUGAGCAACUUUCAUGUACAAAGUAUUUUCAUCCGAGCUACGGAUUAUUUUAUAUUAAUUUUUAAAGUUUUAAUUCAUUUUUAGAAUUAACAGAAUUAAUUUAAUUAGAAAAUGUAAUUAUGACGUCAGCAUGAUGUCAGGGUGAUGUCAGUAGUCAACUAGUCAGUUAACCUAGUCAAACUGACGUGUGGGUCCCACUGUCAUUGUCUAAGACUAACUAAAUAGGUUUAAUUAGUUUAGUUAAUUGAUUACUUUACUUAAACAAAAUUAAUUAAGUUAAUUAAUUAAUUAAUCAAUUAAUAUUUUUGUUUUAUUGUUAUUAUUUUUAAACGUUCAGGGGGCGGGGCCCCACUUGUCAUAGGCCCCAGGGGCCUUAGCGAGCGUGCGGGCUACGGGCGUGCGGGCGCAGGGGCGUUGGUGCCCAGCGGAAAAAAAUCCUAUACGACCGGGUCGUACGGACCCGAUCGUGAGACCCAGUCGAGCGUGCGCCAACUGGCCGUCCGAAUCUCAAUGCAACAACAGUCUCCUUCCCCACUUUAUUUCUAAAUUAGUACGAUUCUAAUCUCUCCAACGCCUCGAAAAUCCAGCCGCCGGUCAUGCCAUUCUCGUCGCCACCGCCUGACGGCACGAUGCACCCGCAACACCUUCCCCUGGGAGCCUUGCCGCCGACGGUGCCGGGCGCGGUGGUGCCAAUCAGCGGCGGCCAUGGCGUGCUCCCGUUCGGGUUGGGCAUGGGCACCAUGGAUAAGGGCAGGUGGUGUUCGGGCAACCGCUGGAGAUCCGCACCAGAGUGGUACGGUAAUCCUGUUCUGGAGGUCAUGUUACUUGACAAUGACGAACCUACGAACUUUGAGGAAGCGAUGAUGAGCCCAGAUUCCGCGAAAUGGCUUGAGGCCAUGAAAUCUGAGAUGGGAUCCAUGUAUGAGAACAACGUGUGGACUUCGGUUGACUUGCCCGAUGAUCGGCAAGUCAUAGAAAAUAAAUGGAUCUUCAAGAGGAAGACGGACGCUGAUAGUAGUGUUACUCUCUACAAAGCUAGACUUGUCGAAAAAUGUUUUGACAAAGUUCAAGGUGUUGACUACGAUGAGAUUUUCUCACUCGUAGCGAUGCUUAAGUCUGUCCGAAUCAUGUUAGCAAAUUGCCACAUUUUAUGAGAUCUGGCAAAUGGAUGUCAAAACUACAUUCCUUAAUGGAUUUCUGAAAGAAGAGUUGUAUAUGAUGCAACCAGAAGGUUUUGUCGAUCCUAAAGGUGCUAACAAAAUGUGCAAGCUCCAACGAUCCAUCUAUGGACUGGUGCAAGCAUCUCAGAGUUGGAAUAUACGCUUUGAUGAGUUGAUCAAAGCAUAUAGUUUUAUACAGACUUGCGGUGAAGCUUGUAUUUACUAGAAAGUGAAUGGGAGCACUACAUCAUUUCUGAUAAAUAUAUGUGAAUGACAUAUUGUUGAUCGGAAAUAAUGUAGAAUUUUCUGGAAAGCAUAAAGGAGUAUUUGAAAGGAGUUUUUCAAAGAAAGACCUCGGUGAAGCUACUUAGAUAUUGAGCAUCAAGAUCUAUAGAGAUAGAUCAAGAUGCUUGAUAAGUUUUUUCAAUGAGUACAUACCUUGACAAGAUUUUGAAGUAGUUCAAAAUGGAACAAUCAAAUAAAGAAUUCUUGCGUGUGUUACAAGGUGUGAAAUUGAGUAAGACUCAAAGCCCGACCACGGCAGAAGAUAGAAAGAGAAUGAAAGUCAUUCCCUAUGCCUCAGCCAUAGGUUCUAUAAAGUAUGCCAUGCUGUGUACCAGAUCUAUUGUAUACCCUACACUGAGUUUGGCAAGGGAGUACAAUAGUGAUCUAGGAGUAGAUCACUGAACAACGGUCAAAAUUAUCCUUAGUGGAAUAAGGAUAUGUUUCUCGAUUAUGGAGGUGACAAAAGGUUCGUCGUAAAGGGUUACGUCGAUGCAAGUUUUGACACUGAUCCAGGUGACUCUAAGUCUCAAUCUGGAUACAUAUUGAAAGUAGGAGCAAUUAGCUAAAGUAGCUCCGUGCAGAGCAUUGUAGACAUAGAAAUUUGCAAAAUAAAUACGGAUCUGAAUUUGGCAGACCCGUUGACUAAAGUUAUCUCGCAAGCAAAACAUGAUCACACCUUCGUACUCUUUGGGUGUUAAUCACAUGGCGAUGUGAACUAGAUUACUAACUCUAGUAAACCCUUUGAGUGUUGGCCACAUGGCGAUGUGAACUAUGGAUAUUAAUCACAUGGUGAUGUGAACUAUUAGUGUUAAAUCACAUGCCGAUGUGAACUAGAUUAUUGACUCUAGUGCAAGUGGGAGACUGAAGGAAAUAUGCCCUAGAGGCAAUAAUAAAGUUGUUAUUUAUAUUUCCUUAUAUCAAGAUAAAUGUUUAUUAUUCAUGCUAGAAUUGUAUUUAGACAAACUUACUAGCUCUACUUACAUGUGUGACUACUUAGACAAACAGAGUGUCACUAGUAUGCCUCUACUUACUAGCUCGUUGAAUCAAAGAUGGUUAAGUUUCCUAGCCAUAGACAUGAGUUGUCAUUUGAUUAACGGGAUCACAUCAUUAGAGAAUGAUGUGAUUGACUUGACCCAUUCCGUUUGCUUAGCACUUGAUCGUUUAGUAUGUUGCUAUUGCUUUCUUCAUGACUUAUACAUGUUCCUAUGACUAUGAGAUUAUGCAAGUCCUGAAUACCAGAGGAACACCUUGUGUGCUAUCAAACGUCACAACGUAACUGGGUGAUUAUAAAGAUGCUCUACAGGUGUCUCCGAAGGUGUUUGUUGGGUUGGCAUAGAUCGAGAUUAGGAUUUGUCACUCCGAGCAUCGGAGAGGUAUCUCUGGGCCCUCUCCGUAAUGCACAUCACUAUAAGCCUUGCAAGCAAUGUAACCAAUGAGUUAGUUGCGGGAUGAUGCAUUACCGAACGAGUAAAGAGACUUGCCGCUAACGAGAUUGAACUAGGUAUUGAGAUACCGACGAUCGAAUCUCGGGCAAGUAACAUACCGAUGACAAAGGGAACAACGUAUAUUGUUAUGCGGUUUGACCGAUAAAGAUCUUCGUAUAAUAUGUAGGAGCCAAUAUGAGCAUCCAGGUUCCGCUAUUGUUUAUUGACCAGAGAUGAGUCUCGGUCAUGUCUACAUAGUUCUCGAACCCGUAGGGUCCGCAUGCUUAACGUUCGGUGACGAUCGAUAUUAUGAGUUUAUGUGUUUUGAUAUACCGAAGGUUGUUCGGAGUCCCGGAUGAGAUCAGGGACAUGACGAGGAGUCUCGAAAUGUUCGAGACGUAAUGAUCGAUAUAUUGGAAGGCUAUAUUCGGACCAUCGGAAAGGUUCUGAGUGGUUCGGGUAUUUAUCGGAGUACCGGAGAGUUACGGGAAUUCGCCGGGGAGUAUAUGGGCCUUAUUGGGCUUUAGGGGAGAGAGAGAGGCAGGCUGCGCGCCCCCCCAAGGCCUAGUCCGAAUUGGACUAGGGGGAGGGGCGGCGCCCCCUCCUUCCUUCUCUUCUCUCUUCCCCUUCCUUCUCUCCUACUCCUACUACUUGGAAGGGGGGGAAUCCUACUCCCGGUGGGAGUAGGACUCCCCAGGGCGCGCCAUAGUAGAGGGCCGGCCCUCCCCCUCCUCCACUCCUUUAUAUACGGGGGAGGGGGGCACCCCAUAGACACACAAGUUGAUCAUUGAUCUCUCUUAGCCGUGUGCGGUGCCCCCUCCACCAUAAUCCACCUCGGUCAUAUCGUAGCGGUGCUUAGGCGAAGCCCUGCAUGGGUAACUUCAUCAACACCGUCAUCACGCCGUCGUGCUGAUGAAGCUCUUCCCCGAAGCUCUACUGGAUCGUGAGUUCGCGGGACGUCACCGAGCUGAACGUGUGCUGAACACGGAGGUGCCGUACGUUCGGUACUGAGGAUCGGUUGAUCGUGAAGACGUACGACUACAUCAACCACGUUGUCAUAAAGCAUCUGCUUUCGGUCUACGAGGGUACGUAGACAACACUCUCCCCUCUCGUUGCUAUGCAUCACCAUGAUCUUGCGUGUGCGUAGGAAUUUUUUUGAAAGUACUACGUUCCCCAACACCCUAUGCAUGCAUCCCCGCAUACGCCGUAUCUCCCUUGUGCUUGCCUCAGGUUGGCUCCACGGAAACAACCGACUAGAGUGUUCCUAACGAGCCAGGCGCUAGGGUGAUUUAAGUUCCAUGCGUGUGUGGGCCGGCGGCUCGUGUGAGCUGUUGGGGAUCGUUGCAGAAAUUAAAAAAUUUCUACACACCACCAGGAUCAAUCUAUGGAGUUUACUAGCAACGAGAGGGGAGUGCAUCUUCAUACCUUUGAAGAUCGUGACACGGAAGCGUUACAAGAACGGGGAUGAGGGAGUCGUACUCGUAGCAAUUCAGAUCGCGGUUGAUUCCGAUCUAAGCGUCGAACAACAGCGCCUCCGCGUUCAACACACGUGCAGCCCGGUGACGUCUCCCACGCCUUGAUCCAGCAAGGAGAGAGGGAGAGGUUGGGGAAGACUCCGUUCAGCAGCACCACGAUAGCGUGGUGGUGUUGGAGCAGCGUGGUACUCCGGCAAGGCUUCGCCAAGCUUCGCGGGAGGAGGAGGAGGUGUUGGGGAGGGGGAGGGCUGCGCCUUGGAUGUGGUGCGACUGCCCUCCCACCCCCCUCUAUUUAUAGGGGCAAGGGAGAGGGGCCCGGCCCCCUCUAGAUGGAUCUAGAGGGGGGCGGCGGCCAAGGGGGGAGGCUUGCCCCCCAAGCCAAGGGGGGCGCCCAUUUUACGGUUUCCCCCAAACCGUAGGCGCAUGGGCCCUAGGGGGGUUUGGCGCCCAGCCCACCUAGGGGCUGGUUCCCCUCCAUAUUCAGCCCAUAGGGCCCUCCGGGGAAGGUGGACCCUCCCGGUGGACCCCCGGAACCCUUUCGGUGGUCCCGGUACAAUACCGAUAGACCCCCGAACACUUCCGACGACCGAAUAAGGACUUCACAUAUAUAAAUCUUCAUCUCCGGACCAUUCUGGAACUCCUCGUGACGUCCGGGAUCUCAUCCGGGACUCCGAACAACAUUCGGUAACCACGCACAAACUUUCCCUAUAACCCUAGCGUCAUCGAACCGUAAGUGUGUAGACCCUACGGGUUCGGGAGUCAUGCAGACAUGACCGAGACAUCUCUCCGGCCAAUAACCAACAGCAGGAUCUGGAUACCCAUGUUGGCUCCCACAUGUUCCACGACGAUCUCAUCGGAUGAACCACGAUGUCGAGGAUUCAAUCAAUCCCGUAUACAAUUCCCUUUGUCAAUCGGAACGUUACUUGCCCGAGAUUCGAUCGUCGGUAUACCGAUACCUUGUUCAAUCUCCUUACGGCAAGUCUCUUUACUCGUUCCGUAACACAUCAUCCCGUGACCAACCCCUAAGUCACAUUGAGCUCAUUAUGAUGAUGUCUUACCGAGUGGGCCCAGAGAUACCUCUCCGUCAUACGGAGUGACAAAGCCCAGUCUCGAUUCGUGCCAACCCAACAGAUACUUUUAGGGAUACCCGUAGUGUACCUUUAUAGCCACCCAGUUACGUUGUGACGUUUGGCACACCCAAAGCAUUCCUACGGUAUCCGGGAGUUGCACAAUCUCAUGGUCUAAGGAAAUGAUACUUGACAUUAGAAAAGCUUUAGCAGACGAACUACACGAUCUUGUGCUAUGCUUAGGGUUGGGUCUUGUCCAUCAGACCAUUCUCCUAAUGAUGUAAUCCCGUUAUCAACGACAUCCAAUGUCCAUGGUCAGGAAACCGUAACCAUCUAUUGAUCAAUGAGCUAGUCAACUAGAGGCUCACUAGGGACAUGUUGUGGUCUAUGUAUUCACACAUGUAUUAUGAUUUCCGGAUAACACAAUUAUAGCAUGAACAAUAGACAAUUAUCAUGAACAAGGAAAUAUAAUAAUAACCAUUUUAUUAUUGCCUCUAGGGCAUAUUUCCAACAGUCUCCCACUUGCACUAGAGUCAAUAAUCUAGUUACGUUGUGAUGAAUCGAACACCCAUAGAGUUCUGGUGUUGAUCAUGUUUUACUCGUGGAAGAGGUUUAGUCAAUGGAUCUGCGACAUUCAGGUCCGUAUGCACUUUACAAAUAUCUAUGUCUCCACCUUGAACAUUUUCACGAAUGGAGUUGAAGCGACGCUUGAUAUGCCUGGUCUUCUUGUGAAACCUGGGCUCCUUGGCCAGGGCAAUAGCACCAGUGUUGUCACAGAAGAGAGUCAUCGGGCCCGAUGUAUUGGGAAUAACUCCUAGGUCGGUAAUGAACUCCUUCAUCCAGAUUGCUUCAUGUGCUGCCUCCGAGGCUGCCAUGUACUCCGCUUCACAUGUAGAUCCCGCCAUGACGCUUUGCUUGCAACUGCACCAGCUGACUGCCCCACCAUUCAAAAUAUACACGUAUCCGGUUUGUGACUUAGAGUCAUCCAGAUCUGUGUCGAUGCUAGCGUCGACGUAACCCUUUACGACGAGCUCUUCGUCACCUCCAUAAGCGAGAAACAUAUCCUUAGUCCUUUUCAGGUACUUCAGGAUAUUCUUGACCGUUGUCCAGUGUUCCAUGCCGGGAUUACUUUGGUACCUUCCUACCAAACUUACGGCAAGGUUUACAUCAGGUCUGGUACACAGCAUGGCAUACAUAAUAGACCCUAUGGCCGAGGCAUAGGGGAUGACAGUCAUCUUUUCUCUAUCUUCUGCCGUGGUCGGGCAUUGAGCCGUGCUCAAUCUCACACCUUGCAAUACAGGCAAGAACCCCUUCUUGGACUGAUCCAUAUUGAACUUCUUCAAUAUCUUUUCAAGGUACGUGCUUUGUGAAAGACCAAUGAGGCGUCUCGAUCUAUCUCUAUAGAUCUUGAUGCCUAAUAUAUAAGCAGCUUCUCCAAGGUCCUUCAUUGAAAAACACUUAUUCAAGUAGGCCUUUAUGCUUUCCAAGAAUUCUAUAUCAUUUCCCAUCAAUAGUAUGUCAUCCACAUAUAAUAUGAGAAACGCGACAGAGCUCCCACUCACUUUCUUGUAAACACAGGCUUCUCCAUAAGUGUGCGUAAACCCAAACGCUUUGAUCAUCUCAUCAAAGCGAAUGUUCCAACUCUGAGAUGCUUGCACCAGCCCAUAGAUUGAGCGUUGGAGCUUGCACACCUUGUCAGCAUUCUUAGGAUUGACAAAACCUUCUGGCUGCAUCAUAUACAAUUCUUCCUUAAGGAAACCAUUAAGGAAUGCCGUUUUGACAUCCAUUUGCCAUAUCUCAUAAUCAUAGAACGCGACAAUUGCUAACAUGAUUCGGACGGACUUCAGCUUCGCUACGGGUGAGAAAGUCUCAUCGUAGUCAACCCCUUGAACUUGUUGAUAACCCUUAGCGACAAGUCGAGCCUUAUAGAUGGUCACAUUAGCAUCCGCGUUUGUCUUCUUCUUAAAGAUCCAUUUAUUUUCUAUGGCUCGCCGAUCAUCGGCCAAGUCAGUCAAAGUCCAUACUUCGUUUUCAUACAUGGAUCCUAUCUCGGAUUUCAUGGCUUCAAGCCAUUUGUCGGAAUCCGGGCCCGCCAUCGCUUCUUCAUAGUUCGAAGAUUCACCAUUGUCUAACAACAUGAUUUCCAGGACAGGGUUACCGUACCACUCUGGUGCGGAACGUGUCCUUGUGGACCUACGAAGUUCAGUAGUAACUUGAUCCGAAGUUCCUUCAUCAUCAUCAUUAACUUCCUCUCCAGUUGGUGCAGGCACCGCAGAAACAUUUUCCUGCACUGCGCUACUCUCCGGUUCGAGAGGCGGUACUUCAUCAAUUUCCACUUUCCUCCCACUUACUUCUUUCGAGAGAAACUCUUUCUCUAGAAAGGAUCCAUUUUUGGCAACAAAGAUCUUGCCUUCGGAUCUGAGGUAGAAGGUAUACCCAAUAGUUUCCUUAGGUAUCCUAUGAAGACGCAUUUUUCCGACUUGGGUUCGAGCUUUUCAGGUUGAAGUUUCUUGACAUAAGCAUCGCAUCCCCAAACUUUCAGAAACGACAGCUUAGGUUUCUUCCCAAACCAUAAUUCAUACGGUGUCGUCUCAACGGAUUUCGACGGAGCCCUAUUUAAAGUGAAUGCGGCAGUCUCUAAAGCAUAUCCCCAAAAUGAUAGCGGUAGGUCGGUAAGAGACAUCAUAGAUCGCACCAUGUCCAACAGAGUGCGAUUACGACGUUCGGACACACCAUUACGCUAAGGUGUUCCAGGCGGCGUGAGUUGUGAAACAAUUCCACAUUUCCUUAAGUGCGUGCCAAAUUCAUGACUCAAAUAUUCUCCCCCAUGAUCUGAUCAUAAGAACUUUAUUUUCCUGUCACGUUGAUUCUCAACCUCACUCUGAAAUUCGUUGAACUUUUCAAAGGUCUCAGACUUGUGUUUGAUUAAGUAGACAUACCCAUAUCUACUUAAGUCAUCAGUGAGGGUGAGAACAUAACGAUAACCACCGCGAGCCUCAACGCUCAUUGGACCGCACACAUCAGUAUGUAUGAUUUUCAAUAAGUUGGUUGCUCGCUCCAUUGUUCCGGAGAACGGAGUCUUGGUCAUUUUGCCCAUGAGGCAUGGUUCGCACGUGUCAAAUGAAUCAUAAUCAAGAGACUCCAAAAGUCCAUCUGCAUGGAGUUUCUUCAUGCGUUUGACACCAAUGUGACCAAGGCGGCAGUGCCACAAGUAUGUGGGACUAUUAUUAUCAACCUUACAUCUUUUGGCAUUCACACUAUGAAUAUGUGUAACAUCACGUUCGAGAUUCAAUAAGAAUAAACCAUUGACCAGCGGGGCAUGACCAUAAAACAUAUCUCUCAUAUAAAUAGAACAACCAUUAUUCUCAGAUUUAAAUGAGUAGCCAUCUCGCAUUAAACGAGAUCCAGAUACAAUGUUCAUGCUCAAAGCUGGCACUAAAUAACAGUUAUUGAGGUUUAAAACUAAUCCCGUAGGUAAAUGUAGAGGUAGCGUGCCGACGGCGAUCACAUCGACCUUGGAACCAUUCCCGAUGCGCACCGUCACCUCGUCCUUCGCCAGUCUCCGCUUAUUCCGCAGCUCAUGUUUUGAGUUAAAAAUAUGAGCAACCGCACCGGUAUCAAAUACCCAGGAGCUACUACGAGCGCUGGUAAGGUACACAUCAAUAACAUGUAUAUCACAUAUACCUUUCGUAUUGCCGGCCUUCUUAUCCGCUAAGUACUUGGGGCAGUUCCGCUUCCAGUGACCGUUUCCCUUGCAAUAAAAGCACUCAGUCUCAGGCUUGGGUCCAUGCUUUGGCUUCUUCCCGGCAACUGGCUUACCGGGCGCGGCAACCCCCUUGCCGUCCUUCUUGAAGUUCUUCUUACCCUUGCCUUUCUUGAAACUAGUGGUUUUAUUGACCAUCAACACUUGAUGUUCCUUUUUGAUCUCCACCUCCGCUGAUUUCAGCAUUGAAUAUACCUCAGGAAUGGUCUUUUCCAUCCCCUGCAUAUUGAAGUUCAUCACAAAGCUCUUGUAGCUAUGUGGGAGCGGCUGAAGGAUUCUGUCAACGACCGCGUCAUCCGGGAGAUUAACUCCCAGCUGAGAUAAGCGAUUGUGUAACCCAGACAUUUUGAGUAUGUGCUCGCUGACAGAACUAUUCUCCUCCAUCUUACAACUGUAGAACUUGUCGGAGACUUCAUAUCUCUCAACCCGGGCAUGAGCUUGGAAAACCAUUUUCAGCUCUUGGAACAUCUCAUAUGCUCCGUGCUGCUCAAAAUACUUUUGGAGCCCCGGUUCUAAGCUGUAAAGCAUGCCGCACUGAACCAGGGAGUAAUCAUCACUACGCGACUGCCAGGCGUUCAUAACGUCUUGAGUUGCUGGGAAAACAGGUGCAUCACCUAGCGGUGCUUCAAGGACAUAUGCUUUCUUGGCAGCUAUGAGGAUAAUCCUCAGGUUACGGAACCAGUCCGUGUAGUUGCUACCAUCGUCUUUCAGCUUGGUUUUCUCUAGGAACGCGUUGAAGUUGAGGGCAACAUUAGCGUGGGCCAUUUGAUCUACAAGACAUAUUGCAAAGUUUUAGACUAUGUUCAUGAUAAUUAAGUUCAUCUAAUCAAAUUAUUUAAUGAACUCCCACUCAGAUAGACAUCCCUCUAGUCAUCUAAGUGAUACAUGAUCCGAGUCAACUAGGCCGUGUCCGAUCAUCACGUGAGACGGACUAGUCAUCAUCGGUGAACAUCUUCAUGUUGAUCGUAUCUUCUAUACGACUCAUGUUCGACCUUUCGGUCUUCCGUGUUCCGAGGCCAUGUCUGUACAUGCUAGGCUCGUCAAGUCAACCUAAGUGUAUUGCGUGUGUAAAUCUGGCUUACACCCGUUGUAUGCGAACGUUAGAACCUAUCACACCCGAUCAUCACGUGGUGCUUCGGAACAACGGACCUUAGCAACGGUGCACAGUUAGGGGGAACACAAUUCUUGAUAUUUUAACGAGGGAUCAUCUUAUUUAUGCUACCGUCGUUCUAACCAAAUAAGAUGUAAAAACAUGAUAAACAUCACAUGCAAUCAAAUAGUGACAUGAUAUGGCCAAUAUCAUUUUGCUCCUUUUGAUCUCCAUCUUCGGGGCGCCAUGAUCAUCAUCGUCACCGGCAUGACACCAUGAUCUCCAUCAUCAUGAUCUCCAUCAUCAUGUCUUCAUGAAGUUGUCUCGCCAAUCAUUACUUCUAUUAUUAUGGCUAACGGUUAGCAAUAAAGUAAAGUAAUUACAUGGCGUUUUUAGUGACACGCAGGUCACACAAUAAAUCAAGACAACUCCUAUGGCUCCUGCCGGUUGUCAUACUCAUCGACAUGCAAGUCGUGAUUCCUAUUACAAGAACAUGAUCAAUCUCAUACAUCACAUAUAUCAUUCAUCACAUCCUUUUGGCCAUAUCACAUCACAUGGCAUAUGCUGCAAAAACAAGUUAGACGUCCUCUAAUUGUUGUUGCAAUUUUUUUACGUGGCUGCUAUAGGUUUCUUAGCAAGAACGUUUCUUACCUACGCCAAAACCACAACGUGAUAUGCCAAUUUCUAUUUACCCUUCAUAAUGACCCUUUUCAUCGAAUCCGAUCCGACUAAAGUGGGAGAGACAGACACCCGCUAGCCACCUUAUGCAACUAGUGCAUGUCAGUCGGUGGAACCUGUCUCACGUAAGCGUACGUGUAAGGUCGGUCCGGGCUGCUUCAUCCCACGAUGCCGCCGAAUCAAGAUAACACUAGUAACGGCAAGUAAAUUGACAAAAUCGACGCCCACAACAACUUGUGUUCUACUCGUGCAUAGGAACUACGCAUAGAGCUAGCUCAUGAUACCACUGUUGGGGAUCGUUGCAGAAAUUAAAAAAUUUCUACGCAUCACCAGGAUCAAUGUAUGGAGUUUACUAGAAACGAGAGGGGAGUGCAUCUUCAUACCUUUGAAGAUCGCGACAUGGAAGCGUUACAAGAACGCGGAUGAGGGAGUCGUACUCGUAGCGAUUCAGAUCGCGGUUGAUUCAGAUCUAAGCGUCGAACAACGGCGCCUCCGCGUUCAACACACGUGCAGCCCGGUGUUGUCUCCCACGCCUUGAUCGAGCAAGGAGAGAGGGAGAGGUUGGGGAAGACUCCGUCCAGCAGCAGCACGACGGCGUGGUGGUGUUGGAGCAGCGUGGUACUCCGGCAGGGCUUCGCCAAGCUUCGCGGGAGGAGGAGGAGGUGUUGGGGAGGGGGAGGGCUGCGCCUUGGAUGUGGUGCGGCUGCCCUCCCACCCCCUCUAUUUAUAGGGGCAAGGGAGAGGGGGCCGGACCCCUCCAGAUGGAUCUAGAGGGGGGCGGUGGCCAAGGGGGGAGGCUUGCCCCCCAAGCCAAGGGGGGCGCCCCCUUUAGGGUUUCCCCCAAACCGUAGGCGCAUGGGCCCUAGGGGGUUUGGCGCCCAGCCCACCUAGGGGCUGGUUCCCCUCUAUAUUCAGCCCAUAGGGCCCUCUGGGGCAAGUGGACCCUCCCGGUGGACCCCCGGAACCCUUUCGGUGGUCCCGGUACAAUACCGAUAGACCCCCGAACACUUCCGGCGACCGAAUAAGGACUUCCCAUAUUUAAAUCUUUGUCUCCGGACCAUUCUGGAACUCCUCGUGACGUCCGGCAUCUCAUCCGGGACUCCGAACAACAUUCGGUAACCACGCACAAACUUUCCCUAUAACCCUAGCGUCAUCGAACCUUAAGUGUGUAGACCCUACGGGUUCGGGAGUCAUGCAGACAUGACCGAGACAUCUCUCCGGCCAAUAACCAACAGCGAGAUCUGGAUACCCAUGUUGGCUCCCACAUGUUCCACGAUGAUCUCAUCGGAUGAACCACGAUGUCGAGGAUUCAAUCAAUCCCGUAUACAAUUCCCUUUGUUAAUCGGUACGUUACUUGCCCGAGAUUCGAUCGUCGGUAUACCGAUACCUUGUUCAAUCUCCUUACGGCAAGUCUCUUUACUCGUUCCGUAACACAUCAUCCCGUGACCAACCCCUUAGUCACAUUGAGCUCAUUACGAUGAUGUCUUACCGAGUGGGCCCAGAGAUACCUCUCUGUCAUACGGAGUGACAAAUCCCAGUCUCGACUCGUGCCAACCCAACAGAUACUUUCGGGGAUACCCGUAGUGUACCUUUAUAGCCACCCAGUUACGUUGUGACGUUUGGCACACCCAAAGCAUUCCUACGGUAUCCGGGAGUUGCACAAUCUCAUGGUCUAAGGAAAUGAUACUUGACAUGAGAAAAGCUUUAGCAGACGAACUACACGAUCUUGUGCUAUGCUUAGGAUUGGGUCUUGUCCAUCACAUCAUUCUCCUAAUGAUGUAAUCCCGUUAUCAACGACAUCCAAUGUCCAUGGUCAGGAAACCGUAACCAUCUAUUGAUCAACGAGCUAGUCAACUAGAGGCUCACUAGGGACAUGUUGUGGUCUAUGUAUUCACACAUGUAUUACGAUUUCCGGAUAACACAAUUAUAGCAUGAACAAUAGACAAUUAUCAUGAACACGGAAAUAUAAUAAUAACCAUUUUAUUAUUGCCUCUAGGGCAUAUUUCCAACAUGAGCAACCAAUUUUUUUAUCCGAUAGGCCUUUUUUGGCGGGGGGAGGGGCUUCAAGGAACCAAGCACGCCCUAUUGCUACUCCGCUGCAUUACCAUGCAGUAGUUCCAUGGGACCAACUGGUGACUCGGCAGAAGCCCAUACACAUGAUGUAAGACCAAAAAAUGAUGCAAGGAUAUCUCCCCUUUUGUUAAUAUACAUUAUUGCUAGAUGGAGACAGUAAUAUUUAAAUUAUGUAUGUUAUCUUAAUUCUCUCUCUAACACACCCUUGAUUGGAAAUUUCCAUGCAUGCUUUAGUUAUUAGUAUAGUUGGUUUCACGGUUAGGCAAGAAUGGUAAAGAACAUCACAAGGCCAUGAACUGGUAAUGUUAAUAUUACUAUGAAAGUAUUAGAGUUCCCUAAAAAAUAGAAGUAUUGGAGUACUAAUUCUUUUUCUACAAUUCAAAUCAAUAUAUUAUCAUUAAUGCCUCAUGUACUUGCUCUGGUAUUUAGUCACAAGAUCAUAUAUUAAUUCACACUCACCUACUCCUUCAAAGACAGAUAGAGAAAAUAUUUAUGUCCUUAUUUUGUACACCUUCUAACAUACAUAUAAGUAUUACGACCUCCAUUUGCUGCAUAGGCUAAGAUGGGAGCACAUUGCAAACUUAGAUCUAGUUACAAAGGUAGAGCCGGCCAAGCAUCUUCUAGUUUGCACUACUAGAGAAACUAAAGCUUCCACAUAUGGUGAUUUAGAACUAAUGUUGGGAAUGAGGGGAGCCAGAAAACAUUCUCUUUGGAUGAGCCCACGAUAUGGGGAAGCACCUCCUGAUCAUGAAAUCCAUUAUCAACUUGUCACAUAAUAGUCUUAGCACCAUCACUUUAUGCGUGAUACCGUAUUGGCGUGUAACCAUUCUGAACUAUCUAUGUCUUCCAUUGUUGCGGGUGGUGAGUCUUCCCUGGUUGCGGGUGGUGAGUCUUCCCUGGUUGCGGGUGGUGAGUGCCACCAAGAAGAUGAUGAUAACUUCUCCGCUCGUGAGUUGGAGCUCUUUUACAUCACUCUAUUGCUCCUCAACCGUAGAUAUGAGUAGCAGGACCAUCCAUACGUAAGGGUAACUUGGUCAUUUUCGACAGGGUAUAUUAGAAAUUUCAUGUUAUUCCAAUUCAUCCCACUACUCCACAAGUGCCUCUAAACAAAUUAAUAGCUUGCAAUUGUUUGCCCUGCGUAGCAUCCAUUGACUAGUGCUUCCAAUGCCAAUGUCGAGCCACCACCAUCCUUCACCAGCAUUGACUCGCAUCACGACCACAUCUUAAAUCAAGUGCAUGCAAAUAUUUAGGGAGAAUGCAUGCGUAUUUGCUUUACUUACAUAACAGAAGUAAAAGCAAGGCAACAAUUUAUGUUGUGACACCAAAAAAUCCAAUAUCUGAAAGUGGCUCUGAAGAAAAUCAUCUCCACGAACGAUACAAAAAGUACGAUGUGCGGUUUUCUAAUAUAUUUACUUAAUGCAAAAUUAAGAUGAGAUGGACAUUGCUUCAGUUAACAAUCUGCACACUAUCGGUGCACGAGCUUAUCGUUAUUGUAGUUUUCUGAAGGACAGGCUUUGCACAUGUCCGUAGGACUGGAACCCAGAGCCGCAGUCAUCACUGUUGAAGUAUUGAAUCAAUCUGCAACGUGUGACAACAGAUCUCGACGUUGUCCAAGUAUGACGAGAAAUCCUAACCCCGUCGUCCCAAGGAGACGAUAAAAAUCUAUGUCAGAACUACAACUACGUCGACCUAAUCCUGCCGAUGAAGUUGAGGACGAUCAGUGCCUGAAAGACCAGCUCGAAGAUGAAGCACUGCCAUUUGCCUAAGCGUCGCCCUUGCGGGGACUAAAUACCCAUAACCCAAACUACAAGCCGGAGCCGAGGCACCGGGAUUCCAUCUGCCAACGGACACCGAAGCAGUAGUCAGGGGAGGCAAAUUCAAGGGUACACCGGCGAAGCCUGAAGGGGACUGUGUUUGUAGGUAAGCCCACUUAAAUUACCAGUAGAUGUGUACCUCGGGAGUUAUGAGUGAAUGAUCGUAUAGUUACGGCUCUCUUUGAUUCACAAGAUUCUUUCAACACCGGAGUAAAAAAUUGUACGACUAGUGCCAUGUCCUCUUGAAUUCUGUAGAAUCGAAAACCUACACAAAUUUGGAUGAAGGAGUGCUUCAUAGCAUAGGAAAAAUGGUGAAAUUCUUAAGAAAUGGCUUGAGUGGAUGGAAAUUUUCCUCCAAAAUACUCCCUCCGUCCCAUAAUAUAAGAACGUUUUUGACACUAGACUAGUGUCAAAAACGUUCUUAUAUUAUGAGACGGAGGGAGUAGAAUGCAAUGGAAUUCAAAGGAAAAGUUCCAAAGAAUUGCAAUCAUGUGAAUCAAACUGCAACGCAUGAAAAGAUUCCUAAGGAUUUAAAUCCUCUAAAUUUCUACAAAAUUCCUGUGAAUCAAAGGAGCUCUAAACAUGUUUUGUGCAUAACUAGUAGAACGUCUUGAAGGAGACGUGUACAUCCACAGUAAUGAACAUGUUGCGUACACACUCAUGUGCUAUGUUCUGCCUAAUUGCAAUUCUGAUUCCCUCCGGGAGACCUAUGAACAUCAGUUGUGGUCUCCGCGGCGCCCGUGUGCGUUCGGAAGCUUCUGCUGCUGGACGAUGAGUCGCGCCGGGAGCUGCCGGCCGGUGCCAGAGCCUCCGCAGCUGCGGCACCGCUUGCGGCCGGAGCCGGAGCACGUCCCGCAGCCGACGUCGCCGUCGGACCAACGGCUGCAGAGGCACUCCUCCCGGCCGGUGCCGCGGCACGUGGAGCAACGGGGCCGUGCGUCCCACCUGGACGCCGCCGGCAGCCCGUCGCCCGUCGUCCGGUUCGCCGUCGCCACGCCCGCCAGCAUCCCGAGCCCCGCCGCCGCGAUCACCAUGGGCGCCACCAUCUUCACAGAAGAACCAAUCCAAGAACCUUUCUUGCCGUAUACACUUGCCUGGUGCUCGUAAGAGUGGAAGAAAAGAUUUGGAUGGGUGCCUGUGGACGGGGUGCGUCGGUUGAUUUUAUAGGACUUUUUCGGGUGGUGGGCGCUGGGCUCGUUUAGUCUGGCAGCUUGGAGGGUAGCCGAGGCGCGGAAGGGAUGGAGUGUCGCCUAUACUCUGCUCAGCGAUUCUGUUUCGGUUUCGUGCGUGCGUACUGCAAGCCAUGGCUACUUGCUGGCUGCUGCACGUGGAUUUACGUGCUCCUUUGCCGUCUCCACGCUACGGGACGAAUUCGCAGCUAGGCACAGGGUUUGUCCUCUGCAUUCUUAUGAAUUCCGUUAACGAUUACUCCUAGUUGCAACAUACUGUUUGGUAUACGUCGCGGACAGGAUGGAAGCGCGUAUGCAUGUCUCAACCGUCGACCAAAACCUCACUAACAGCCAAACUAUAGCACAAACGCCACGCCGCCGCGGCAUCCUAAAUUCCCCAAGUGCUAUAUUUUUCGCUGUCGUAUAUGCAUUGAGCUGUAAUGGGGUCAUUGCUUACUGGGUUCCUUCCCGCGUUGAUUUAAUGGGUACCGCUAGGGAUCAUCCCUUGCUAUUGUAGUUUUCUGCAGGAAAGGCUUUGCCUAAGCUUGUAGGUAUAGUACCAUUGAACCAAUGAAAUCAAAAGGUUCUAAAUAUAUUUUCUGAUUGCAGUGAGUUGCAUGUUAAGAUGAAAGUUCUUAUUUACUGUUUUCACAGUAAAAACUCUUUCAUAAUUUUCCCCAAUAUAUGCAGACGAUUUAUGCAUCCUUGUAUAAUGCAGAAAGCCAGAGUAGCAAAGAUUUCUGUCGUAUUCAAUAUUUCAGAAUGUAUUCUAUCUGGCACUUGAUUUUAACAUGCUAUGCGAUUUCCCCGCAAAAAAGAACAUGCUAUAUGGUUCAGGUGGCAUCAUAUUUUGUCAUUCGCUUAAUCAUACUGAUCUGGUGUUCAAAUAAACAAAGUUUAUAGCACACGGUAUAUGAUCAUUCGGAUGCUUGAAAGUGUACGGUGUAUGUGAAAUAUCUGUAUGAAAUUGUGCAAUGUAUGAAUUCCGCAAUGUGUAAGGAAUCUAUAUUGUGAAAUGUGCUCAUGUAUUAGCAGAAGAAUUGUAGAACAUUUGUUGCUCUUGUGUAUGCUUAUGGUUUCUGGUUAAAAAUAGCAUGUCCGCAUAUUUUGAAAUGUUGAUUUAAUUAUAAAAGGUCUUCGGGUUUUUAUUAAAAUACUAAUGUGAUUUUGAAAGGUGUUCACACAAUUAAAAGGAUCAUAUAGCUAAGAAAAGCAUUUACGUAUUUUUUAAAAUGUUUACUCAUUUGUUUUAAAUAUGUAAUUUCAAAAAUUGUUCUCACAUUCUAAAAAGCGAAAAAAAAUUGUUUUUGCAUAUUUUCCUCAUGCCACUCUAGCUUUUGACAUUUCACUUUUGCAACUCUUAGUUUUUUGACAAUACAUCACAAUUGCCAUUUCAUGGCAAAAGCAAAAAAAAUCAGAGUGGUAAUUAUGAUACAAUAUCAAAAGGUAAGAGUGGCAAAAGUGAAAUCAAAUUAUUUUGCUUUCGCCAUAGAAUGGCAAUUGUGAUACAUUAUCAAAAUCUAAGGGUGGCAAAAGUGAAACGUCAAAUUUAAAAUGGCAAUUGUGAUACAUUAUCAUGCCAUUAUAAGAAAAAUAUUUUAAAAAGAAAGUAGAAAAAACUUAAUACGGUGAAAACGAAAAAAAAGAAACAUGGAAAACCGGGUAAAUACAAUCUAGGAAAAACCAAAGACUACUUUUUAGGGGAUCACACGGUCAUUUUAUUGCUCUAUGGAAAGGGGUACAGUAAAGGGAUCCCAUGGCCGAAGAAGCCACAAGAAACGACCAUGUUGGAGGGACACAUCACUCUUUAGAAGAUUGUGAGUAGGAACCAGAGACAACUAAUACCUUCAGAUAAAAAAAGGAAGUAAAAACGACUGCUACUAGGCCACGGCCAAGCCGGAAACACUAGAGGAGAGUGUGGUGUAUGUUUCACAAUAAGCUAGAUAUAGCCUUUGCGCGAUAACAUGGUGGUCAUGCUAAAUACUGCACACACACACACACUCCUUUGAGUCGAAGGAAUUCUGUAGGGAAUUUUGUAGGAUUUGAACCCUUAGGAAUUUUUCCUAUGGUGGCAAUCCCUAGGUACUUUUCUACAUGACUCAUCUGAGCUCCAUUUUGAAGGAAAAUUUUUGUCCACUCAAGUAUCUUAGUAGAAUUCUAUUGUUAAUCAAUGGGCAAAUCAACUUAAUUAAUUGAGGUUAUCAUGGCGUUUCAGUCCAUGCAUAGCCCGAGGCAACGCCUUUGUGAGUUGGCAAUGCACUGGAACCAGUGCGGUCAAAAUUCACGGUGCAACACGCAAUCAAUCUGGUUGUGAUGCUCUACAUGAUUCUGUUGCCAUGUGUUGUUUUGCCCACGUCGUGUGGGCCUAGCCCGGGCGACAGGGGGCUGCAUGCUGGCCCCCGACUUUCGGUCCCGUGAAGACGAAGGUCCCAUGGAUCUAUCUCAUGUGGGCCACGACAUCCCUACCAACCGGCGAGUAUGGGCUAGCUGGUCGUAAACUACAAAUCCAUGCCCCCCCAGGUGGCAUGCAAAUCUUCGUAAAAAAACUGAGGCUGGGGAAGCAUAUCUUCAGCAUGGGCGUGGUUGUCUCACUACCACAGGUAGUUCGAGAAUGGUCGUGCCCCGGCGAGCUACGACAUCCGGGAGUUAUCCAUACAAUUUCUCCGCCUCUUGGCAACGUGGCGGGACGGCAAAGAAGACACGUGGCAUCCAACUGUGCUUCCUAUGAGCUGACCCAUUUGGUCAGUUUGCCUACAAUGGCAGACGGCAAAGAGUAAACGAGUUUGCCGUCAGCGGCGGACGGCAAAGGCCUGCCAUGUAGUGACGUCUAGAUGACAUCAUACGGCGGACGGCAAAGACAGUAGAAAGUUUGCCGUCCGCUGGCAGACGGCAAAGGCACUAGAAAGUUUGCCGUCCGCGACGGACGGCAAAGGCCUGCCGUUAGCCACUUAAUGGACUGAGAGCACAAUUAUUGCCGUCCGCGGCAGACGGCAAAGGGCCUUUGCCGUCAGCCGCCAGGAAGCAGACGGCAAAGUAGCUGUUUACCGUAGCCUACUUUGCCGGAGCCUUUUGCCGUCCGCGGCUGACGGCAAAAGCCUUUGCCGUCCGCCGUUCAUGCCUUUGCCGUCCGCCAUGGCAGACGGCAAAAUAGCUGAUUCCUGUAGUGUAAUUGAGGUUAUCAUGGCGUUUCAGUCCAUGCAUAGCCCGAGGCAACGCCUUUGUGAGUUGGCAAUGCACUGGAACCAGUGCGGUCAAAAUUCACGGUGCAACACGCAAUCAAUUUGGUUGUGAUGCUCUACAUGAUUCUGUUGCCAUGUGUUCUUUUGCCCACGUCGUGUGGGCCUAGCCCGGGCGACAGGGGGCUGCAUGCUAGCCCCCGACUUUCGGUCCCGUGAAGACGAAGGUCCCAUGGAUCUAUCUCAUGUGGGCCACGACAUCCCUACCAACGGGCGAGUAUGGGCUAGCUGGUCGUAAACUACAAAUCCAUGCCCUCCCCCCAGGUGGCAUGCAAAUCUUCGUAAAAAAACUGAGGCUGGGGAAGCAUAUCUUUAGCAUGGGCGUGGUUGUCUCACUACCACAGGUAGUUCGAGAAUGGUCGUGCCCCGGCGAGCUACGACAUCCGGGAGUUAUCCAUACAAUUUCUCCGCCUCUUGGCAACGUGGCGGUAUGAAGAUCUUUGUGAAGACGCUCGCUGGCAAGACCAUCACCCUUAAGGAAAAUCCCUUCAACACUAUCGACAACGUCAAGGCCAAGAGCUCCGCGGGGAUGGGUUCCCUCAUGGGAACCCCCAUUCUGUCAUCUACCUCUCGCGGACAACCCAGCCCCGCCAACAACUAGUUAUUGUCGAGCACGACGAUGGGACAAGUUGAAGGCUAUAGUUGCCUAGGCCUGCCCUAACCAGGCGUAGCACAGCGCGAGUUGGCGGGCACGCACUGCCUCUCUUGGAGGGAAAGUCACGUGCACAAUGGCGCCCUACGUGCUUUCAACUACAUGCAUGCCACUUGUUGGCGCACGCUACAGUGGUGGGCUCUAAGUCAACAAGGCGGCCCCGAUGGGACGUGUAUAUGCUCCCGGCAAUGCAGUUCGGCGCCACAUGUUACACGCAGUUAAUAUGACAGAUGCUCCACUAUACAACCACCCCAUUUACUACUUUGUAGCUAUGUGGCAAUCCCAUGCCACUAUAAAAGGAGGUCCAAGCUACCUAGUUCAUAGCUAGACCCUUUGAAGGUUGGACACUAGAUAGGUUAGGCACUCUGCUAGUCUACGCCCACGACUCCAAGCACGUUUCCUAGUCCCAGCAAGCCCUGACCAGGGAAAACAUCGCUUGUAACCAGUUGUUCAUCGCAUCCAGUGAGAAUAUCAUAGUAGGACAUAGGGUAUGAUGCUUCACGGCAGCCUGAACUUGGGUAAAAUCACCAUGUCGUAGUGGUAGGAUGCGUGCAUCUCUUUGCCCCUGGCUGAACCAAAAAAGAAAAAAACUUUGUUUUUGCCACUCUAGUUCUUGCCCACUUUGCUAACGCCACUCUCGAAUUUGACAUCUCACUUUUGCCACUCUCAGGUUUUGACAAUAUUUCGCAAUUGCCAUUUUAUGGAAAAAGCAAAAUUUCUAGAGUGACAACUGUGAUCAUUGUCAAAAGCUAAGAGUGGCAAAAGUGAAAUGAAAAAAAAUGCUUUUGCCACAGAAUGACAUUUGUGAAACAUUGUCAAAGGAUAACAAUGGCAAAAGUGAGAUGUCAAAACCUAGAGUGGUGUUGUGUUUGCACACACGACGGUGAUAAGUUCAAAUACGGAAAACGCAUUUUCUCAAUAGAAAAUGUCUCACAGAUCAAUGAUCAUCCUCAAUUGCCAAAGUAGUGUAUAAAUUAGAGUUCCACAUGACAUGCACAUGAUUUGGACUACAAUGUAUGUUUUAAAACAAGUGGGAAACAUUUAAUAUCAGAAUGUUCUUCAAUACCUCGACUACUCACAAAAUAAGCUUCGUUGACCAGUAAGGGUCUUUUUUUUUGCAAACGGGACACAAAUCUAUUAUAGAUGUUGACCGGAAGUACAAGCAUCCAAAACAUAAUAGAAACUGCAUCGACCUCUGCUCACUGGACCAUUGAAAGACCACUACGGCCGGUAGAGCAAGUCGUCGAGAAGCCAUUGCCACUGCUCCCCUACUAGAGCCGACACAACCUUGUAGACGAUAGCCAGGAAGUCUUUGUGCACGUGCCCCAUAGGACUGUCACCCUAGAGCCGUAGUCGCCACUAUUGAAGCAUUGAAUCAAUUUGCUAUGUUUGACAUCAGAUCUCGUUGUCGUCCACGUAGGACGAGAAACUCUAACCUCGUCUCCCUAAGGAUACGUCAAAAAUCUAUGUCAGAACUUCUCUGACUUCGUCCCAGAGGUGAAGUCGAGGACGAUCAGAGCCUGAAAGACCAGAUUUGCCUGAGUGUCACCCUUACGGGGACUAAAAAACCCUAACGCAAACUACUAGCCAGAGCCGAGGCACCGGGAUCUCCCCUGUCAAUGAGCGUCAAAGCAGCAGGCAGGGGAGGCGAAUCCAUAGACCUCAUUGACAGAUUUCCNNNNNNNNNNNNNNNNNNNNNNNNNNNNNNNNNNNNNNNNNNNNNNNNNNNNNNNNNNNNNNNNNNNNNNNNNNNNNNNNNNNNNNNNNNNNNNNNNNNNNNNNNNNNNNNNNNNNNNNNNNNNNNNNNNNNNNNNNNNNNNNNNNNNNNNNNNNNNNNNNNNNNNNNNNNNNNNNNNNNNNNNNNNNNNNNNNNNNNNNNNNNNNNNNNNNNNNNNNNNNNNNACAACCGCUUCAGUUACUAGAUCUAUACCUCAGGAGUUGCGAGUACUUGAGCACUAAUGUUAAGGCUCUCUUUGAUGCGCAAGAUUCAAAUAAAAAAUUAUAUGACUAAAGUGUCAUGUCCUUUUGAAUCCUAUUGAAUUAAAAAAACUACAUGAAUUUGGAUGAAGGAGCUCUUGAUAGCAUAGGGAAAACGAUGGAAUUCUUAAAAAUGGAUUGAGCGGAUGGAAAUUUUCCUCCAAAAUAGAAUGCAAAUCCAAAGUAAAAAUUCCAAAUAAUUGCAAUCAUGUAACUGCCAACGCAGGAAAGAUCCCUGAGGAUAUAAAUCCUCUAAAAUUUCUAUAAAAUUCCUUUGAAUCAAAGGAGCUCUAAAAAUGUUUUAUGCACAACUAGUACGUCUUGAAGGAGACGUGUACAUCCACAGGAAUGAACAUGUUGCCUGUACACUCAUGCUCAUGUGUUGUGUUCUGCCUAAUUGCACUUCCGAUUUACUCCGGGAAACCGACGAGUAUCAAUCAGUUUUAGUCUCCGCGUCGCCCGGGCGCGGUCGGCAGCUUCUGCUGCUGGGCGAUGAGUCGCACCGGGAGCUGCCGGCCGGUGCCAGAGCCUCCGCAGCUGCGGCACCGCUUGCGGCCGGAGCCGGAGCACGUCCCGCAGCCGACGUCGCCAUCGGACCAACGGCUGCAGAGGCACUCCUCCCGGCCGGUGCCGCUGCAGGUGGAGCAGCGGGGCCGCGCGUCCCACCUGGACGCCGCCGGCAGCCCGUCCCCGGUCGUCCGGUUCGCCAUCGCCACGCCCGCCAGCAUCCCGAGCCCCGCCGACGCGAUCACCAUGGGCGCCACCAUCUUCGCAGAAGAACCAAUCCAAGAACCUCCCUUCUUUUCUUGCUGCGCAGAUUGCUGGCUUGCUACCGGAGACGGACAAGGAACAGCAGGGGAGGGGGACGAGCAGGAGUUGAACUCGUUGGCUUUCUCCUCGCCUGUGGACGUGGAAGUGGAAGAGAAGACAGAAGACUUC
rnacentral:lncRNA from 1 species